rnacentral:lncRNA from 1 species
AUCUCACGAAAAGUCAAAAGUCAAACAUAAACUUUGAAAACUAAUCCAAAGAUAAGUGAAAGGUCAAUGACCAAAUAUCUUUAUUUUAAAAAUGAUAAAAAUAAGCAGAAAUUGAACUCAUAUUGUUAGUGUUGGUGACAUUGCUAAAAGCUAACAAAAGUGGGCCACUAGGGCCCAUAGAUCAACACAAUACCUCAAUUGGGCCUUUGAUGAUCAUAUGGAUGAUGAGCCCAAAAGAUGAAGGGCUAUUGGGCUUGGAGUUAUGGUCAGGCUUAGUACAGGGGCCUAAAAAGGUUCAGGCCAACAGCCACCCUCAAUUUAGGUUUUUGGUAGACUUGAGUAUGUAAUAAACACUCCAUCAAUAUCUUUUUCCUUAACUAAUAAGAAAGAGCCCAAUUUAAGAAUAAAAAAAUGUUCGAUGGAAAAUCAAAACUUUCUAUCACCUUUAAAGAUUAAAUUAACUAAAUAUCACAAAGUAAAAAAGCUUAGACUAUGUUUGGUUUUCAAAAAAUUUGAGAGAAAAUGCACAAAAAAAUAAAAAAUAAAAAAAUAAAUUUAAAUUAAAUGAGUUAUUUUUACAUCAUACUUCAAACUUAUUUUACUUAUUUUAAAUAUUUAUAUAAAAAAUAAAUAAUUUAAAAAUAGAUAAGUUUUUAAUUUUAAUUAUAUUUGAUUUUUUCUCAUAUUUUCCAAUGUAAAACCAAACAUGUAAAAAUUAUUUCUCUAAACAUUUUUUUUUACUUUUCAAGAGCCAAACAAACCCUUAAGUAUUUAAUCAUUGCCAUGGAUAGAUGAUUUACUUUAAGCUUUCUUUGAUGUCCAAUUGUCAAUCAAUAAUGAUUAAUUGGUAAUAUAUUAAUAUAACUUUUACCAUCAAACAAGUAAAAUAAUUCUAUCAUCAAUAUUUUUUAAGAUUCCUUGACAAUGGAUUUUCUCUCCAUCCAAACAUAUGCCAAGAAGUUUCAAUUUUAAUUCUAUUAUUUCCCUUUCCUUGUAAGAAUUAGAAGGCUUAAACCCUAAAAUUGAUGCUCAAUUCAUGAUGACAAAGAUUUGAGUCAUCCUCUUUCCUUUUAAAACCCUAACUUGAAAUUUGCUCCAACUUUGGACACUCUACCAAUCACUACAAGCCAAAAAAGAAAACAGUAGUUUUCACCCAAGAAAAUCUUCAAUCACAAGCAUUAAAUGGUAAAAUGACAAUUUAACCCUUCUCUGAUGGUUGUCUUCCCACCCAUAAAAUUUAUUUUCUCAUCCACCAAUCUUUUUUUCUUUAAUUUUAAAAUUAUCAUUAUGUAAAUAGAUCAAAACACUCCCUUUGUUUUUUGCACACGGUUUAUUUACCAAUAUAUUCAAAAACAUUUAAAAAUAAUAAUUUUUAAAAAAUAGUUCUUAAAAAGAAUUUUUAAUUAAUUUCAGGAAUAAAUUCCUAUUUGACAGUUCAAAUAUAUAGAUUAUAAAAAAAAUUAUAUUUUUAAUUAAUCAUUAACAUUAUGUAAAAAUACUUCAAAAUACCUUAAUUUAAAAAAUAUAUAUUAUCAGAACAAAUUUGAAUAAAAGCAUUUUUUUUGUAAAUAUAUAUAUAUAUAUAUAUGUAUAUAUAUAUAUCAAAUAUGGUCUCUAAAUCACUAAAAACACUAUCCGUUUUUUCUUUCAUUAUUUCAUCAUCCCUAAAUAAUUUUAUUUUUUUUAUAAAAAAAAGCAUAUAUUUUUAAAGCAAAAAUUUGAAAACAAAAUGGUGUGGAGAGGUAUUUCAAUUGAAGCUUAAAAGAAAUGGAAUCUUCAUAAUGAAAUAGAAGCUUGAAAAUGACGUAAUUUUUGUGUCAUAGGAGAUGAAAAAGAUGGCCCUGGAUGUAAUUUCCCUUUCUGUGUAUGAUGAAGGCUUUUGGGCCCACCACUUUAAACUCUAUGGCCCACUGCCUCACCGUCCAGAAAAGUUAGGCCCAACUACUCUACCCUUGUCUUUCUUCAAGAACCCACGCCAUUCCAAGUGGCUUGUAAAUUACCCAAAACAACCGAGGGCCUCAGGCACAAAACCCCAUGAAAUGGGUGGGUAUUUAGGUCAUUUUUACUCAAAAGAUUCUCCAUUGUGAUGUUUCUUGUAAAGUUGGUAGCUAUAAUGACUUGAAAUUAAAAAAUAAAUGCUGGGCCUUAUUGUAUAGGAUAUGACCACUCGAUUUAUAUAUAGAGUCCAAUUUUAUGUUGAAAGAGGGUACAUUGUCACCAUGGCUAGAGUUUUCUUCAUUUUGCCUUUCUAUCUUAGCUUCUUCAUCUUUCUUAUCUUCUCUUAUGCCGCAAUUCCAAUUCUUGGGGAUGAAUACAGCUAUGUCAAGCAGGUUGAUCCUAAGAAAAUGGGGAUGAGGAAGGAAAAGCUAAGUCAUUUUCGAUUUUAUUGGCACGAUAUUGUGAGUGGUCCUAAUCCAAGCUCAAUUCAAGUAGUUUCACCUCCUACAAACUCAACAACUGCAUUUGGUUUGAUAAAUAUGAUUGAUAAUCCUUUAACUGUUGGGCCUAAAUUAAGCUCAAAAAUGGUUGGAAAGGCUCAAGGACUUUACACGUCUGCAUCGCAAGAAGAAAUUGGAUUGUUGAUGAUUAUGAACUUUGCAUUCAUUGAUGACAAGUAUAAUGGUAGCACAUUUACUGUAUUGGGUCGGAACACAGUACUUUCUAAGGUGAGAGAGAUGUCAGUGAUCGGCGGUAGUGGACUUUUCCGAUUUGCUAAAGGCUAUGUUCAAGUAAAAACUUACACAUUCAAUAGCACCACAAAAGAUGCCACGAUUGAGUAUAAUGCUUAUGUUUUGCAUUAUUAAACCUUUUUUUUUUCUAAGAUUUUUUUGUAUUGUGUUGUGGCCCACUAUUAUGACAAUUUAAAUCAUUAUGUUCCCACCAUAUGCUAAGUGGGGUCCUUUGAUGUUGCUUAAUUUAAUUAAAUCACGUAUUUGAGUAGAAAAAUUAUUUUCUCAAAAUAUUUUGAAAUAAAUUAUAUUUUGAAUAUCAGUACAAAAGUUUACUUUUUCCGUACCUACCAAAAAACACCACUAAUUAAGUGGUAUCUUAUGCACAUUUUCAAGUCUUAUUAUUCAUACUCAAGUUCCAUUUGCCUUUACCCUUGUACCUUAGUCUCAUUCAUUCGUAGGCUUCAAUUUCACGACCAUAUAUAUUCAAUAGUUUAGAUUUUUUGUUUUAUAGGUACCAUAGUGGUGGUACCUAAGCAUUUUCCUUUGAAUAUAAAUGGUUUGAGGAUAAAGAGAUUUAAGGUAUUAUAUCUUAAUUUUUGGAAUAAUUAAUGUUUAAAAAAUUAAAGAUUUAAGUUAUCGUAUCUUAGUUUUUUUUAAUUAUUGAUGUUCAAAAAUUAAUCUGCACUAUUAAAACUUAAUCAAAAAAUAAAUUAUCAAACAUUCAAAAAUUGAUAAUUUAAAUUUUGUUUUAGAUAAUCUAAAAUGUAAAAGGUUUCACCAAACAACUUCUUUGAUGAGAUAUUUAAUUUUUCAUUUAACAAUAAUCCUCAUGUCCAAGCAAAGAUCUCAAAUGAACUUCUCUUGAGAAAGUAACACACCCCCUAAAAUACAGGUCUACACUAAAGCACAGUAAAACACACUAAACAAGAAGUCAUAUGAGUAUAAAUGACUUUAUUACUCACACCAUUGACACUAAGACUAAAGAUAAAACGAUAUAUUGAAGCUACCAAAACCAAAAGAAAUAGGGUUUUUUAGUUGUUUAUUUACUUUUUUACUUUCUCGUAUUUCAAAAAUAUUAUUAUCAAAUUGUGAAAUAUGUUUUAAAAUGUUAAAAUUUUGUUUAAAAAUUAAAAUAAAAGAUGUUUUAAAAUGUUAAAAUUUUGUUUAAAAAUUAAAAUAAAAGAUAGGUCUUGUUUGGACACACUUUUUGUUAGUUGCUUUUUAAAAACAAAAAUAAUAAUAAUAAUAAUUUUUAUAUGAAAAGAAUAAACCUUUUUAGACUAAUUUUAUAUCUUUUAAAAUUACUUUAAAUUUUUUUUUAAAUAUGAGGUGGUAAAUAUUGUUAAUAUCUUAACUCUUUAUUUUUUAACCAUUUUUAGAAAUUAUUAUAUAUUCAAUGUAAACGUAUAAAAGUUCUUGCAUUUUAUAUUGAAGUUAUUACUGUUAAAAACGAAAUAAUAGAAAAUGUAUCCAAAUCGACACUAGUACAUAGAAACAACAUAAUUUCAUCCUAAUAGCAACUACUUUCAUAUUUAAAUACAAAUUAAACAUUAUACCAAAUACAAUUUUUACUACAUAUGAAAUCCUUCAAAUCUUCUAACUUAAAAAUUUACUAUUAAUAGCACACUCAUACUAAGAUGUGGAAAAAUAAGCUUUACGGUAAAUGAAAUUUGGGUUUGGUAAACUCAAAUAUAUAAUAAAUAGGUGAUCGAGAAAAGAAAUAAGUAAGAGUUCAAUUCAAGUAUAUUCCCCUUAAACUAAUAAGUAAGAGUCUAAUUUAAGCAUGGAACAUUCUUGAUUAUAAAACGUCAAUCAAAAAUCAAAACUUUCUACCACCUUUGAAGAUUAAAUUAACCAAAUAUCAAAAAUAAAAAUAAAAAGCUUAUGGAUUCAUCACUGCCCUUGGUUGGUGAUUUACUUUUUGGCUUUCUUUAAUCCGUAGGCAUUCAUUAAUUAGCAAUAUAUUAAUAUGACUUUUUCAUUAAACAAGUAGAAUAAUUCCAUUAUCAAUAUCUUUUAAGAUUUCCACCAACUAUAAGUAAAUUAAUAUCUUUACUUUUCCCUCCUAUGACAAUGGGUUUUCUCCCAAUCCAAACACAUGCCAAGAAGUUCCAAUUUAAAAUAUAUUAAACAAUGUUUUUUUCCCUAAGAAUUAGGAAACCUUAAACCCAAAAAGAAUGAGUAUGAACCCUCAACUUACAUUUGAAUCAACUAUAAGUAAAUUAAUAUCUUUACUUGUCCUCCCUAUGACAAUGGAUUUUCUCUCCAUCCAAACACAUGCCAAGAAGUCUCAAUUUAAACCUAUUAAACAAUGUUUCUUUUCCCUUUCCUUGUAAGAAUUAGGAAACCUUAAACCCUAGAAGGGUUGCUCAAUUCAUAGUGACAACGAUUGAGUCAUCCUCUUUCUUUUUAAAUCCUCACUUGGCAUUUGCUUCAAUUGGAUGCCCUGCCAAUCACUAUAAGCCAAAAAGGAAAAUGGCAGGUUUCACUCAAAAAUUCUUCACUCACAAGCAUUAAACACUAGGAUGACAAUUGAACAUUUCUCAGCUUUUUGUCUGAAGGUUGUAUUCCCACUCAAAAAAUUCAUUUUCUUAUCCAUUAAACUUUAAAAAAAAAAAAAAUGCCAUUGUGUAAAUAGAUGAAAAUACUCCCUUUAUUCUUUCCACCCAAAUGAAGGGUUUAUUUGACAAUAUAUUCAAAUAUAAUUUUUAAAAUAAUUUUCAAUUGCUUUAGGAAUAAAUUCCUACUUAGGAAUUUAUAUAUAGAAAUUGUACAAAAUAAUUUUUAUAUUUUCAAUUAUUUCUUAAAAUAUUAUAAAAACAAUACCUUAAAAUAUGUUCUAAAAAACCAUUUUCAAAACAAGGUUUUAAAAAAUUAUUUUAAAUAAAUGGAAUAUUGGUAAUGAAAUAAAAGCUUCAAAUGAAAAGUUUAAGGGUGAAGGGUUCAAAUGAGAGAGAAAGUGUACUUAUUUCUGGUGAAUUUUGGGUUGGGUGGGUGAGAAAAUAAAAUUUUGGAUUUAGCGGAAAUGGAAAAGAUGGGGCUGGAUGUAAUUUCCCUUUCUAGGCGUGAUGUAGGCUUUUGGGCCCACCACUUUAAACACUAUGGCCCACUCCCGUACUGUCUAGAAAGGUUAGGCCCAACCACCCUUUCCAGGUAUUCCUUCCCAGUGACUUGCAAAUUACCCAAAACAACCAAGGGCCUAAGGCGCAAACCCCAUGAAAUGGAUGGGCAUUUUAGUCAUUUUGAAUAAAAAGCAUCCCUGUGCUGUGCCUUGUGAAGAUGGUAACUAUCAUGACUUGAAUUUUUUAAAAAAAAAUGGUGGGCCUUAUUGUAAAGGAUAUGAACCACUCACUUUAUAUAUAGUCCAAUUGUUGUUCUCAAAGAGAGUGCAUUGUGGCCAUGGCUAGGGCUCUCUCCAUUUCAUCUUCCAACCUUUUCUUCUCCUUCAUCUUUCUCAUAUUCUCUCAUGCCACAAUCCCAAUUCUCGGGGAAGAAUAUAGCUAUGUCAAGCGAGUCGAUCCCAAGAAAAUAGGGAUGAGGAAGGAAAAGCUAAGUCAUUUUCGAUUUUACUGGCAUGAUAAUGUUAGCGGCCGUAAUCCGACCUCUAUUCAAGUAGUUGCACCACCUACCAACUCAACGACUGCGUUUGGUUUGGUAAAUAUGAUCGAUAAUCCAUUAACCAUUGAGCCUAAAUUGAGCUCAAAAAUGGUUGGAAAGGCUCAAGGGCUUUAUACCUCUGCAUCGCAAGAAGAAAUUGGACUACUAAUGAUUAUGAACUUUGCAUUCUUUGAUGGUAAGUAUAAUGGUAGCACAUUCACUGUAUUAGGACGGAAUACGGUAUUUUCUAAAGUGAGGGAGAUGUCAGUGAUCAGUGGCAGUGGACUUUUCCGAUUUGCUAGAGGUUAUGUUGAACUUAAAACUUAUUCGGUAAAUUUAACCACAAGAGAUGCUAUAGUUGAGUAUAAUGCUUAUGUUUUGCAUUAUUAAACUUCUUUCCAUUUUUUCCAAGCUUUUGUUGAGCUUUGGCUGCUAUUGUGACAACUUGAAUCAUUAUGUUCCCACCAUGUGCUAAGUGGGGCCCUUUGAUGUUUGAUUUAAUUAAAUUAUGUGUUUGAGUAGUAUAAUUGUUUUCUCAAAAUAUUUUUUAAUAAAUUUUGUUUUGAAUAAAAGUGGUUCGAGGAGAAAGAUUAAGGUAUUCUAUCUCAAUUUUUUGAAUCACUAAUGUUUAAAAUUAAUAUUGACUAUUAAAAUUCAAUCAUAAAAUUCAUUAUCACACAUUCCAAAUUUGAUAGUUAAAAUUUUGGUUCAAAAAAUCUAAAAUGCAAAAGGUUUAGCAGUGAUAAUUCUGAUCAAUUUUGUAGUUUAUUUUUUUAAAUUGAUAAGAAAAUUUGGUUGAUUAUAAUCUCCAGGCAACUUUAGUAUUCAUUUUGGAUUGAUAAAUGUUAGUCCAUGAUUCAUCCUUUAAUUUAAUGAGCUUGAAGAUACUAGGCCUUGACCUAGUAUAGUGCCCUAAACUAAAAGGGUGACAAUUCGUAUUGUUGGGUCAUAAUCCAAUCGAGAAAGGCUAUAUGUAUAUAUUCAAUAAAGUCUCUCCUAAAUCUUGAACUUCAUGCACGGAGGUAUAAAUUUUUUAUUUUUUCUAUUUUUAAAUAUGAAAUUAUAGGUGCUAGAUGUGGUUUAUUCACUAAAACCAUUAUAUAAUUUAUGACAUUGGUUUAUUUUAAUUUUGUAUAUAGACUAUAAGGACCCAUUUAGCCUUAUUUUUUAAACUUGUUUUUAAAAACUAGUGAAAAUAAUUUAUACUUGUUCUUUAAAAAUUGUUCUCUAUUUUGCUUUAUUUUUAAAAAUUGUUUCUAAAGAAUAACAAUCAAACAAUUUUAAAAAAUUUUAAAAACAGUUCUCCAUUUUAAAAAAUAAAAAAACUGUUUUUAAAUCAUAUGGCCAAAUAAGCUCUAAAAGCCUUCAACCCUUAAUAUCUUUUAACUUAAAAAUCUCACCAUUAGAUAAUAUUCUCAUUUUAGAAGAUACAAAUCACAUGUUAGAAAUAAACUAGAAUCAUAUUAUUAUUUAUUGUAAUGAGAUACACUUUAUAUCUUAUUUGAUGAAGCUUAAGAAAUCAUAUACAAAUUAUUAAUUAAUUAAUUAAUUAAUAUUUUGUUAGUGUAACCUUAUCAUUAUACAAAUAAAAUAUUUUUAUUAUUUUCAUUUUCAAAAUUUAAAAAUUAAAGAAAUCAAAAGAAAAUUUCUUAAUUUUUCAACUAAUAAAAUUCCUUUUAUCAAAAAGAGAACAUCAACAAAUUGUGAAGUUACAUAUUUUUAUUUAUUUUAAUAGUCGAUAUUUUUUUAAGAUGUAUCAAUUAUUAUGUACAUUAAAAUGCAUUUAAAGGUGAUUUUAUUUGAAAUAUUUUUAAUAAAAGUAUUUUAAAAAAAAUAUUUUUAGAAAAAUUAGUUAUCAAUUAUGAAACAUUAUAAAUAAUUUUUUAGUUUUUAAAAUAUUUUCUAAAAUUUUUAAAUGUGGAAAUUUUUUUAAGUUAAAAAUAUUUUCUAAAAUGACUAUGAAAUGGAAUCUUAAUAUUCUUACUAGUUCCUCCAAAAUAAUGGAGUGUCUUUUUCCCACGUAAAACCUAGAAAACUCUGAACCCAAAAUUUGAUGCUCAGAACGACGUGGGCAAGGGGGAAGAAUGAAAGUCAAGUCAUUUUCUUUAUUUUUAAAAUCCUCAUUUCAAUUGGGUGGGUGUCAUACCUGGAAAUUGCACCACACCUACCUUCACUAAUGAUAAAAGCACAAUUUUGGGCCCACCACAACAAACAUUAGGGCCCACUUUGAUGGGGGCAGGCCUUAUUUUCUAGAAAAAGUUAGCCCAACCACUCCAUUGUCUGUCCAUGAUUUCCCACGUCCCAUUAAAAAAAAGGCGUGCUAUUCCAGGUCAAUAAGACUUGCAAAUUACCCAAAACCACCAAGGGCCCAAGGCACCGAACCCCAUAAGAUGGAGGGGCAUUUUGGUCAUCUCGAAAUAUAUAUAUACCGCCUAGGUUUUGUGAACAAAUGGGAUGCAUUGUGGCCGGCAAAGGGUGUGCAUUGUGGUCAUGGCUAGAGCUCUCCUCAUCUCACCUUCCUUCUUCAUCUUCUUCAUCUUUCUCAUUUUCUCUUCUGCCAAGAUCCCAGUUUUCGGAGAAGAAUAUAGCUAUGUCAAGCGUCUCAAUCCUAAGAAAAUGAAGAUGUUGAAGGAAAAGUUAAGUCAUUUUCGACUUUAUUGGCAUGAUAUUCUUAGUGGGUCUAAUCCAACCUCAAUUCCAGUAGUUAAACCGGUGAAUAACUCAUCAACAUUCUUUGGUUCAAUAAAUAUGAUCGAUAAUCCAUUAACCAUUGAGCCAAAAUUAAACUCAAAAAUGGUUGGAAAGGCCCAAGGGUUUUAUGCGUCUGCGGGACAAGAAAAUUUUGGAUUGUUGAUGGUUAUGAAUUUUGCAUUCAACGAUGACAAGUAUAAUGGUAGCACAUUUACUGUGAUAGGACGAAAUGAUGUUUUUUCUAAGGUGAGGGAAAUGGAGAUAGUUGGUGGCAGUGGGCUUUUCCGAUUUGCUACAGGUUAUGUUCAAGCAAAAACUUACAUGUUCGGUACCAAUGGAGAUGCCAUUGUCGAAUACAAUGCCUAUGUUUUACAUUAUUGAUAUUUUUCCUUUUUUUAACUUUUCAGUCGAGCUUUGUUCCACAGUGAUAGACUUGAAUUGUUGUGUGUUCCCACUGUAGCUAAGUGGGGUUCUCUAGUUUUGCUUAAUUUAAUUAAAUUAAGUUACUCUUACUUUACCUAAUUUAUUGUAAGCAUGCAAUAAUAAAAUAAAAUUUAAGUAUCACGUAUAGUUUGAUUUAGAAUUUAUUUGUUUAUUUAAAUUUUUUAGAGAAGUUACAAAAAUAGAAAAAAAAAAACACAUGUAAUUCAAAGAAAAUCAUAUUUGAAAAUUCUCGAUGAUAGUGAUAGAUCGUGUAGAGAGAAGAAAAAUAAGACCAUAUUCAAUUUUAUUUGUUUCUUAUGAUUUUCUUAAUUUUCUUAUGUUCCUCUAUUGUUUAAAAAACUAGUGAAAAUGAUUCUUUAUUUCACUUUGUUUUUUUAAAAAUGAAAAUAGAGAACAACAACUGAAUAAGGUUAUGAAUUUUUUAAAAACAAAUAUUUGUUUUUAAAAUAGAAAACUAUUUUUUAAAUCACAUGGUCAAACAUGUUAUAAUAGUUUAAAAUUUUGUUUUAAAAAAAUGGAAGUAUAUAUAUGAAAAAAAAAAAAUUACAGCUUGAAAGUGAUUUUUAAAGAUUAAGUACAGCAAAACAACAUUUUAUAUGGAAUUUAUUAGUAUUUUUAUUUUUAAAAUAAAAAAAUAGAAAUUCAAAUUUUUGUUUUUAAAAGUUUUAAAAUAGAAAACAAAAUUAUACCCAAAUAACACCUUUUAAGUUUGUAAUUUACUAAAAGUUCAUCAGUCAAGAUUCCUAAAACUCUAUUACGUCAUAGUCCCACACAACUCAAGAAAGGUUAUAUCCAUAUAUUCAAGAUGACCUCCUAAAUCUUGAUCUAUAUGCAUGGAGGUAUAAAUUUUUUAUAAAUAAUUUUUUAUUUUUAAAAACAAAAACCUAUUUUUAAAUCACACAAUCAAACAGAUUGGAAGCCUUCAAUCCUUAAUAUCUUUUAACUUAAAAUCUUACCAUUAGAUAACAUUGCUUUAGAAUUUAUAAAUCAUGUAUUAUAAGUAAACUAAAAUCAUAUUAUUGUUGAUAGUAAUGAGAUACACUUUAUAUCUUAUUUGAUAAAGGUUAAGAAACCAUAUACAAAUUAUUAAUUAAUUAAUAAUUUAUUAAUGUAACCUUAUCAUUAUACAAAUAAAAUAUUUCUAUUAUUUCCAUUUUCAAAAUUUAAAACUCAAAGAAGUCAAAAGAAAAUUUCUUAAUUUUUCAACUAAUAAAAUCCCUUUUAUAAAAAAAAGAAAAAAAGAAAAAGAAAGUCAACAAAUCUUGAAAUUUCAAAAUUUUAAGAUAUUAAUGUACCAGUUAUUAAGUAGAUCGAGUAUAUUUAGUAGUGAUUCUAUUUGAAGUACUUUAGUAAAAGUGUUUUUUCUAAAAAUGUUUUUAGAAGAAUCGUCCAUUAAUUUCUUUUUUAAGAAACAUUAUAAAUAAUUUGUCAAUUUUUUAAAAAUAUUUUCUAAUUUUAAAUGCCAAAAUAUUUUAAAAUAUAGGGAAAAAUAUAUUUCCAUAUACCUAUAUGAAAAAAACCACAAAAUAAAAAUUUAAGUUUAUAAAAUAUAAAUUUCAAGCACUUAUAUAAAAAUAAUUAGUAUUUCACAUAUUUUCUUUAUCAAAUAUAUUACAUUUGAUCACGUAGAAUAUACCUUUUAAUGAUAUGAGUGUAUUAAAUUUGAAUUAUUUUUAUUUUGUUUUUAUUUUAUAAUUAUUUUUAUAUUAGCUUGUGAAAACCUUUUUUUUUUGUAAGUUAGAAGGAGUUUCUCUCCAUCGAAACACGCAGUGUCUUUUUCCCUUUUCUUGUAAACCCUAGAAAACUCUAAACCCUAAAUUCGGUGCUCAGAAAGACUUGGGCAUGGAAGAAGAGAAUGAAAGUAAAGUCAAUUCCUUUAUUUUUAAAUCCUCAGUUCACUUUUGCUUCCAUUGGGUGGGUGGGUGGGAUACCUGGAAAUUGUAUCAGACCUACCGUCACUCACAAGUCUGAAUUAAAAUGACAAUUUUAUCCAAUAGAAUGGGUUUUGGGGCGACUUUGAUUGCGGGAGGCCUCAUUUUCUAGAAAAGGUUGGCCCAACCACACCAUCCUCUUUCCAUGUUUUUUCUCAACAAACGCGUGCCCAAGUCAAUAAGACUUGCAAAUCACCCAAAACCACCAUAUGCCCAAGGCACCAAACCCCAUAAGAUGGAGGGGCAUUUUUGUCAUUCUCGUUAGAAAUAUUCCCGUUGUGAUGGGUCGGUGCGAUUGGCAAUUAUAACAUCUUUGAAUUUGGAAAAGUGGGCUUUAAUUGUGUGGAAAAUGAACAAUUCAAUAAUUUAUAUAUAUAUCCUAGGUUUUGUGAGCAAAGGGUGUGCAUUGUGGCCAUGGCUAGAGCUCUCCUCAUCUCACCUCCCUACUUCAUCUUCCUUAUCUUUCUCAUUUUCUCUUAUGCCACAAUCCCAACUUUUGGAGAAGAAUAUAGCUAUGUCAAGCGUGUCAAUCCUAAGAAAAUGAAGAUAUUGAAGGAAAAGUUAAGUCAUUUUCGACUUUACUGGCACGACAUUGUUAGCGGGUCUAAUCCAACCUCAAUUCAAGUGGUUAAACCAGUGAAUAACUCGUCAACAUUCUUUGGUUCAAUAAAUAUGAUUGAUAAUCCGUUAACCAUUGGACCAAAGUUGAGCUCAAAACUGGUUGGAAAGGCUCAAGGGUUUUAUUCAUCUGCAGGACAAGAAGAAUUUGGAUUAUUGAUGGUUAUGAAUUUUGUAUUCAUCGAUGGCAAGUAUAAUGGUAGCACAUUCACUGUGUUAGGACGAAACAAAGUUCUUUCUAAGGUGAGAGAGAUGGAGGUGAUCGGUGGCAGUGGAAUUUUUCGAUUUGCUAAAGGUUAUGUUCAAGCAAAAACUUACAUGUUCAAUUCCACGGGGGACGCUACUGUUGAGUAUAAUGCCUAUGUCAAACAUUAUUGAUUUUUUUUUCUUUUUUUAGUAUUUUAAUGGAGCUUUGGUCCAUAGUGGUGAUAGACUUGAAUUAUUGUGUGUUCCCACCAUAGCUAAGUGGGGUUCUAUAGUUUUGCUUAAUUUAAUUAAAUUAUGUUGCUCUUUCUUUACCUAAUUUAAGGUAAGUAUGCAGAAAUAAAAUAAAAUUUAAGUAUCAAGUAUAGUUUGAUUUGAAAUUUAUUUGCUUAAUUAAAAAUUUUAGAGAAGUUAAAAAAAAACACAUGUAAUUCUAAGAAAAUCAUAUUUGAAGAUUUUCGAUUAUACUAUUAGAUCGUGUUAAGAAAAUAAGAAUAAUAUUAUGUUCAAUUUUAUUUGUUUCUUAUAGUUUCCUUAAUUUCCUCAUGUUCCCCGUCCUCUAUUUUAAAAGCUAGUAAAAACAACUUUUACUUUUCUAUUCCAUUUUAUUUAAAAUAAAAAAUAAAAAUAGAAAAUAACGGCCACUGUUAUAGUUUUUUUAAAAGUAAGUUUUUGUUUUUGAAACAAAAAAAAAAAACUAUUUUUUAAUCUUGCCAAACAUGAUGUGUUUUAAAUCCGUUUAAAAAAAAUCGAAGUAUAUAAAAAAAAAAAUUUACUACUUGAAAGUGAUUUUUAAAGAUUAAGUACAAGAAUUUAAUAUUUUAUAUUUUUAUUUUUACUUUAAAAACAAAAAUAGGAAAUGUAUCUAAAUAUGAAGUAAUUUUUUUUUUACUUUAUUGCAUUUCACAAAUAUUAUUCCCAAAUUAUAAAAAUCUCUUUGAAAAUGUUAAUUUUUUUUAAAAAAAAAUUAAAAAUAGAAAACAAAAUUACACCCAAAUAACACCUUAAAUUUGUAAUCUACUAAAAGGUCAAAAUUCCUAGAACACUAUUAGAUCAUGGUCCAAUCCAAUUUAAGAAAGACCAAAUACAUAUAUUAAAGAUAGUUUCUUGUGUUUGACACUAAUUCUGUAAAGUGCUUCUAGCUAAAAAUAAAUAGAUGUUUAGUAAAAUUUAGGAAACACUUUUAAAAAUUUGAUAAGUUACUUUCAAUGUCAAAAAUCACUUACAGUAUUUUUUAGAAAAACAUUAGAUAGUUGAUUAUUCUAAAAACACUCAUAACGACAAUAUUUUCAAUAAAAAACACUUCGAGUUGAAACAUUACUAAAUACACUUUAAAUCUUGAACUUUAUGCGUGGAGGUAUGAAUUAUAAUUUUUUUUCCUCCACCUUUAAUUAUGGUAUGAUUUUCAUGAAAUUGUAGGUUUUAGACCUAGCUUAUUCACUAAAACCAUUAUAUAACAUAUGGCAUAGUUUUAUUUUCAUUUUGUACAUGGACUAUUAGCCUUUAAUGCUUCAUAUCCUCUAACUUAAAAAUCUUAAUAUAGAUAACAAUCCCAUGUUAGAAAAAUAUAAAUUAGGCCUUACAAGUAAGCUAGAAUCAUAUUGUUGUUUAUUGUAUAUGAGAUACACUUAAUAUCUUAUCUAGAUGUGGCUAAAUCAUAUGCAAAAUAUUUGUCAAUUCAACAAGAAAAAAAAAUAUAACUAAGUUUAAAAUAAGCUCACUAUACUUCAAUGUAGAAAAUUGAUAUUUGCAUUUAUUUAAGCCAAUAUCCAACCUAGGUUGCUUUGAAGUAGAGUUAAAUCCAUACAACGAGUAUGUAAUUCUCCUACAAAAUAGGAAGGAAGAGUAGAAGAGUUUAUGGAUCUUCCAUUUUCUAACUUAGCUAUCUGUAGAGACAUGAUCUUAUAGAGUUAUUUGUUGCAUAUGCUAAGAUGAGAGCAAAUUGAUAGUGGGUUCAUUGCACUUAUGAAAUUUAAAUUCUUGAACACUUGAGAUUAACAAAUUCCUUACAUUAUUAAAAAUAAAUUUUAAACUAGAUUAAUUGUAGAUAAUGAAAAAUUAAGACUUUUGAUACCUUUAGACUACGUUUGACUCGUGUACCAAACACCUUUUAAAAGAAUUUUUAGAAAAAUCAUUUAUCAAUUACUUUUUUAGGAGUCAUUUUUCAAUUUUUUAAAAAAUACUUUCAAAUUUUAUCAAACACGCAAUCUUCAAAAAAAUAUGUUGUUUAAACUAAAAAUAUUUUCUAAAAUUACCAAAAAAGGGGCUUUUAAUAUAUUUACUAGUUCCCACAAAAUAAUGGAGUUCUCUCCCCUUUUUGCCCUAAAAAUGAUAAAGAAUAUAAAGUACGAAAUUUAAAUCGUGGGAGAGAUAAAAAGAUAUCCAUAUAUACCAGACCUACAUUCGCUCACAUGUUUGAAUGGUAAAAUGACAAUUUUAUUCAAUAGGACGAAGGGUUUCGGCCCAGCACAAUAAGCCUUAGGGCCCACUUUGAUGGCGGCACAAUAAACCUUAGGGCCAACUUUGAUGGCGGCUGCCGUGGCGGAGCCAGACUCCUUUGUUAUGGGGGAGGGAUCAAGAGAAUUAUUAAUAUAUUAUAGUUAAGGUAAUUAAUGAUAUUUAUUAUUAUUAUUAUUAAAAUUAAAUAAUUUUAAAUAUUGAUUAUAAAAAUGUAUAAAAUUAAACCACCAUAGUACUAAGAAUAUUUAUAUAUAUAUAUAAAAUUACCAAGAACAUUUAAAGAAAAAUUUCAAAAGAAAUAAAAAUUAGAAAGAAAAAUCAUUAAAUUUUUUUUUAAUAAUUUUAAUUAUUUUGUAGCAAAACCCAUAAAAGUUACUUUAAAGAAUUUAAUAAUUUCUUUAUAAAUUUCACCAUUUUUCAUGAAAAAUGUGUUUUUUAGGUCUGACUAUCUUAUUUACACUUUAAUCUCAUUCUUUAUACUUAUAUCCGAAAACCUAAAUUUUUCUAUAUACUUUUAGAAGUGAGGAUUAAAAUUUUCAUAAAUACCAAAAUUAAUACCUUAAUCUUUACAAGAUAGUUGAAAGUAAAAUCUUUUAAUUAAAAUUUAUGUUUCAUAUAAUAAUAAUAAUUCAUUACGAAAAUGGUAGUAGUUUAAAAGUAUUAUUUUUUAUGAUUUAAUUAAAUCCAAUAAAAAAUAAUUAUAAAAAGAGAAAAAGAUUGAAUAAGCAAGAAGAAAGAAAUGUCAAUAUUAAAUAAGAUUUUUUUUAUUAUUGUUCAAUUUUAAUAUUUUAUUAGUAAUUAAUGGUUAAUAUUGUUUUUUUUGGUAAUAAUAUUUAAUUGUUAUUAUUUUGAAAACUAAAUUUAUAUUCUUUUUAGAGGGGGUAAUUUUCUAUUUUGGUUUUUAUUUUCCUAAAAAAGUUUAUCAUAUAAGGGAAUUUUUUGUUUCUAGAAAAUUGAGGGGGGACACAUGGUCCUCUGAGCCUUACUUGGCUCCGCCAGUGGCAGCAGGACUCAUGUCCUGGACAAAGUUAGGCCCAACGACUCAGGUCUUUCCAUGUUUUGCUUCUUUCCAGUCAAAAAAUGCGUGCCAUUACAGGUCGAUAAGACUCGGAAAUUACGCCCAAAGCACCAAACCCCAUAAGAUGGAGGGGCGUUUUGGUCAUUCACGUUAGAUAUUUUCCCCACUGUGAUGUGUCUUUGAGCGGUGGGCAAAUAUGACUUGGUCUUUGCGCGGUUGGAAGCUUUAUAUGUCUUGGAAUCUGGAAAAGUCUAUUUUAUCGUAUGGAAAAUGAACCAUUCGAUAUACAUAUAUAUAGCCUAGGUUCUUGUGAGCAAAGGCAUAUAUCCUAGGUUUUGUGAGCAAAGGGUGUGCAUUGUAACCAUGGCUAAAGCUCUCCUCGUUUCACCUUCCUACUUCAUCUUCUUCAUCUUCCUCAUUUUCUCUUCUACCACAAUCCCAGUUUUCGGAGAAGAAUACAGCUAUGUUCAAAGUGUCAAUCCUAAGAAAAUGAAAAUGCUGAGGGAAAAGGUAAGUCAUUUUAAACUUUAUUGGCAUGAUCUUGUUAGCGGGUCUAAUGCAACCUCAAUUACAGUGAUUAAAGCAGUGAAUAACACAACACCAUAUUUUGGUAUGAUAAAUAUAAUUGAUAACCCGUUAACCGUUGGGCCUAAUUUGAGCUCAAAAACAGUUGGAAAGGCCCAAGGGCUUUAUGCAUCUACGGGACAAAAAGAUGUUGAAAUAUUGAUGGUUAUGAAUUUUGCAUUCACUGAUGGGAAGUACAAUGGUAGCACAUUCACUGUAUUAGGACGAAACAAUGUUCCUGCUAAGGUAAGGGAGAUGCCAAUAAUCGGUGGCAGUGGGCUUUUCCGAUUUGCUAGAGGUUAUGUUCUAGCAACAACUUAUGAGCUCAGCAACACUGGAGAUGCCAAUAUUGAAUACAAUGCCUAUGUAAUACAUUAUUAAUGUGUGUGUGUGUGUGUUUUUUUUUUUCUAAUUUUUCUAUGGAGCUUUGGUCCACAAUAGUGAUAUACUUGAAUAAUCGUAUGCUCCCAACGUUAACUAAGUGGGAUUCUCUAGUUUUGUUUAGUUUGAAUAAAUUAGGUGGUUUUUACUUCACCUAAUUGAAUGUAAGCAUACAAUAAUAAAAUAAAAUGCUUAUUUACAUGGAUUAAUUAUUUUCUUGAAAUUUGUUAAACUAUACCUUAUUCUAAAAAUCAACAUUCAAAACUGGAUCGGAUAUUGAAUCGAAAAAAUUACCAAUUCACAAUUCACAAAUCGGACCGAUGGUCCAACCAUGAUCAAACCGUCAUAAAUAUAUAUAUUUUAUAUUUUAUUUAAAUUAAAUAAUAUUUAUAAUAUUAUUUAUUUAUUAUUAUAUAAAUGUAUUAAUGGUUUAAAUUUAUUAAACAAAAUAUAUAUAAUAUUUAAAUAUGAAAUAUAUUCAAAAUCGUAAAUACAAAAAAAGUCGUAAUUAAAUAUGAAAACAAAUUGAAAAUGAAAAAAAAACACGUGAUUUAUAUAUAUAUAUAUAUAUAUAUAUAUAUAUAUAUAUAUAUAUAUAUAUAUUAUUUUUUGAAAUAGGCUAUGUACUUAUUUUCUGUUAAAAAUAAAAAGGAUGCAGCAUAGUGGAGUAGUAAUGCUCGUUAUGAUAUUCGUCACCGAUUAUCGGUCGGUAUUUGUCGGUAAAUUUACCGAUUUUUCUGGAAAUUUCCCGAUAUUUCCUACCAGUCCAGCCCGCGCACAGGAUACAAAAUCUGUCCAAUUUUUUUUUUAAAAAAAACAUAAGGCGUUAUUUGGUAAUCUGAUCAUGAUUUGCAGGCAAAGGUUGUGUUUUUCCGCCUGGCUCAAAAAUUGUGGAUUUAGGGUUCGUGAAAUUUAAAUCGAAUGGCACAAAAGCAAAGAGACACCUUAGAACAGAUCCAGAAAACACAGGGAGCAAAAAAAAAUUUUGGUUUUCCUUGGGGGUUUUGCAUGGAUUUUCUCAGAAAUCAAACGAGGAUGAAUUUUCCCGGAAAUCGAAUGAGGGGUGGAUUUUCUUGGGAAUCAAACGGGGGUUGCAAAAAAAAAAAAAUAAUAACAUGAUUAGAUUAGUACCUGCAAGGAUUGAGAGUGGCAGAGGAAAAUAGGGCCUUCUCAGGGAUUCUCUCGUCUGGAGGGCAACUUCAGAAAAGGGCUUCUUGAUGCCCGAGUGAGAAAGAAGCAUAUCAAGUGAGCAAUUUUCCGUGGGUGGCCCUUUUUAUUUUUAGAUUUAGUAGAGAUAAAAUAAAAAAAAAAAAAAAAAAAAAAAGGAAGCAUAUCAAGUGAGCAAUUUUCCUCUCCCUAUAUAAAUAAUUAUUAAUUAUCCAUCUUUAUUUUGAUUAAAUCACUACCAUGGAUUAAAAUUUUGGUUUUUAUCGAUCAUAUUUUAUGAAUUAAAAUUAAUUUGAUAAGAUAAAUUAUUAAUAAUUUUAAUUAUUUAAAUAAAUUAAUAUUAAUAAAAAAAAGUUGUUAUCAUAUUUUUAAUAAAAUUUUAGAAAUUAAAUCUCAAAUAAAAUAUUUUAUAUAAAUUAUUUUAAUUUUUCAUUUAAAAUGUAAUAAAACAUGUUUUAAUAAAAGUAUUUUAAAAUAAAUAUUAUCAUCAACAAAAUGGCUCUCUUCGUCUAAUAAUAUGAUAGAAUUACAUCAAUAUUCAUUUUGAUACUAUGACUAUUGCAAUGUCAUAUGUAUUAUAUUUAUGUAUAAAUUGUUUUUAUUUAAUAAAAUCAAAUAUUUUUUAACUCAAUUCUAAUUUUAUACACUUCCAAAAUUCAUAUUUAUUACUCUUAAAAUUCAAAUAUCAAAUUUAUCGAUAUAUCUCUAUCUACUGAUAUAUAUAUAUUUUUAUCAUAUUUAUGUCAAUUAUACUUACAAAAUGACUUUAAAAUAUGUGUAUUUUCUUUUUCUUUUUUCUUUUUUAUUUAUCAUUUUUUAGAGUUUUUGCAAGCAUUCCCAUAAAUUUUAAAUAAUUUCCACUUCACCGAUAUUUGUGAAAAAAAAUAUUUACCGAUAUUUUUAAUAUAUUCGCAAAAUCGAAGUAUCGAUAUUUUCAUCAUUGACCUAAUCCCACAUCGGAAGUAAGAGGAAAAAUAAAGUGCUUUAUAAACCUCUUCCCAUGUAACACAAGUUGGGUAAUCAAGUCAAGUGGUUGUUGGGCCUUAUGGCACAACCCCUGAUUAGGGGUCCAUUUUGCAAGAUGGGUGUGGGCUGUCAAUGUUGAGUCUGGGAGAGGAUAUAGGCCAUUUUGCCCAAAAAAAAAGGGUAGGCAAACAAUGUUGGCCGAAAAAAAUAAAAGUUGGGGUGUUGAACAUUGAUAACCGACCUAAAAGGAGGAAUCGGACAAGAAAGGUCAUCGAUUGACGGCGAUUUUUAAAAUAUUGCUAAAAAUAAUAAUAAUAAUAAUAAUAAAUUGGAGAGAAGUAGAUUUCAAAGCUCAUAUCAAUAAAGUUGAAGUAUAUCACUUUUCUAUUCAACUUAAGCUAGUUUUUAUGGGUUGAUUUGAUAUGUUUGAAUUAUCAUACAUAUGGCUUUUGAAAAUAAGGCUAACUGGGUGGACCUACCUUGACUUUGUUUACCAAGAAUGACAUAUUUCUUUGAUUUCACGUUACUCAACUUAUCUUGACCAAACUAAAACAUAUUCAACUUUGAAAUUUCACUAGUUUUUAGUCAUAUGUAAUGAUAAUGAAGUUAGAAAAUGCUAAAAAAAUUGAGUAGCAUUCUCAUUUACAAAAAUGCUUUUUAGAAAUGUUUUGAUAAAAAAUUUAUUUAGCUUGACGUGAUACAUAAGUUGACUUUUUCUUUUAUUUCACUUAAUAUAUGGUUUAAUUGAACAUUUUUCAAAAGAAGAUAUGAUUCUUAAACAACAACCUUUUCCCAUUAUUUACAAAUUCUACAAGGUCCAUGUUGGGAAUUGUCCCAAAUUCCUAAUUAGUAAAUAUUCCUUUUUGUAAAGAAUAUUAUAUAGAAUAUUUCUAGGUUGAUAUAUUAUUGUAAUAUUAGACUUCCUUAUAGAAUAAGGAAGGUUGUAGGAAAUAUCUCUAUAAAUAUUCUAGGUCAUGAGGGGAAAAAGUUAUGAGAUGGAGAUGGGCCUAUAGAGACUAUACGAGGUGGAUAGAGAUGUGAGGAAGAACGGGAGGUACCUGGUGGAGCGAGAGGGCUCGUAGUAAGGUAUGGAUACAAGGAGUGGGGAAACAUGGGAUGUUUCGGGAACCCAAUAGUUGUAUCUGGUUCUAUCCUCUGUAAUAUUCUCUAUUGUAUAGUGAAAUUAUUCUCUCUCAUCCGUGGACGUAGGCAUGGUUGGCCGAACCACGUUAAAACCUCGUAUGUGUGAUUGUUUUAUCUUUGUGUUAUUGAACUAACAUUGUUGGCAUCAAAGCUUUCGUUGGCACUACAGUCCAUAGCUAGGGUUUGAAUCAAAAUGGGCUAAAAAUUAAUGUCAUCUCAAUUUUGCUUCAUUUUUGGGACAAGCAAUCAUGACAAUCUUGAAUGGAGUUCAUGUGUCUAACAUAUCAACGUCAGAAGAAAAAUAACUAUAAAAAGAACAAGCUUCUAAUAAUUUUUAUAUCUUAUAUACAAAUUAUUAUUAUUAUUUUAUAAUUUUUAAAAAAUAUAUGAAAUACAUUCAAAUGGACACUUAAUUAUAAAUAAAUGAUAACUAUUCUACCAUUUCUCUAAUACAAAAAAAAAAAAAAAAAGGCGUUUGAAUCUUUUUAAAUGAAUUUAGCAUUCACAAAGCUUUAAAUCAUUAUUUUUUCUACUUGAUUGUGUAAUAGUAGAUGAUGAAAAAUUAACAAUAAAUGAUUAAUUAUCAUCAUAAGUUUAAACUUUAUCAAUUGUCCUUCUAUUAAAGCAAGGUGACAAAUUGAAUGUGAUUGAGGUUGUGAGACCCAUUAAUGUAGAGAGGAAUUCAAAAUCCUAAUAAAAAUGUAUUUCAAUUAAUAAUGAGUUUUUAAUUUAUAUUCUCAUUUUUAAUAAUUAAUUCACAUAAAAUAACAAAUUAAAAGUGAAAUGGGUUUUUCAAUUCAAAUUUUUUUUCAAUGUUUCAAUGACCGAAACAAUUCUAAUUUUUUUUUUUAAAUUUAAAAACAAGGUGUUGAGUAAAUUAACUUAAUUACCUAAUUUAAAUUAUUAAAUAAAUUAAAUAUAUUUAAUAAAAUAAUUUAAUAUUAAAAUUAUUUUUAAUUUUUACCUCUUUUUUCUCUUAAAAUAAUUAACAUAUAUGUCAGACCUACUUUGGCUCACAAGUUUGAAUGGUAAAAUGAUAAUAGGAUGAAGGGUUUUGGCCCACCACAAUAAACCUUAGGGCCCACUUUGAUUGCGGCUUGCCAACGCGGAACCAUAUUGUGGACCCCGCAUUUCGGCUCAUACGUUCCCCACUCGAUGGCGAGCUCGAUUUUUAUUUGAAAAUUUGAUUUUUUAUUUGAUUAAGAAAAUUGACUUGGAGUCGCCACUUAUUUUUGUUUUAUUUUAAAAGGGUAAACAAAAUAAGAAAGAAAAACCCUAAGUGUGACUCCUUAUUUUGGAAAAGGCGGUCUGUGAAAAACCGGAUCGGGUUCGGGGGUCAGGUUACUUAUCGGGAAGGUACGGUAAACACCGUAACACCCCUUUAAGUCCCUAAAGUCGGGUCUCUACUAAUAAAAUGAAGCAAUCAUGACAAUUGAUGAGAUAAUCAAUGAAUACUCAGAGUGAUCAUGCACAUGUGAGAAUCUAAACAUGCGUACAGAAAAUGACCCAAGCGGGUGUGGAUGCGUACCUGGGCAGUGAUCCAUAAAGCGCUAUCAAGAAGUGAGAUUAGUGCACAACUAAAGAAUAGUCACAUGCAUAUCAUAGAGCAGAAUAAAUCAUGUAUGGCAACCGAAUCAACCAAACAAUCCAUCAAUCAUAAAAUCUCAUAUGUUGGGCCCCCACCAAAGCCCAUUUCUAUUUUUGCAUGAAUUCAUCUCAUAAAUUCCAUUGUUUGGAAUUACGAAAAAUUCGUUCAUGCUUAUUAAAAAUAAGAGGAGCAGAAGAUUAUUUGAAAACCAGAAUGAAAUUAAGUUAUUUGAGAGAAAAUUGGAUUUUUGAAAUUCAUUUGAAAAAUUGGAGUCUCGAAAGUUAUUUAAAGAAAAUUGGGACUUUAGAAAUUAAAUUUUGAAAGAAAUUAGAAUUGGAAAUUAUUUAAGAAUUAGAAAUCAUGAAAAUUAAAUUACAUAAAUUGGAAUUUUGGAAAUUAUUUGAAGGUGGAAUUUUUCUAAAGAUAAAUAACUAAAAUGAUGAUGAUAAUAACAUUAAUAACAAUAAAUAAAUAAAUAAAUAAGUGGAAUAAUAAUAAUAAUAAUAAUGAAAACAAUAAUUAAAUAGAUGAACGUAAAUAGUGAAUUUUUUGAAAUUGGAAAUUAAAUUUGGAAAUUGGAAAAUUGGAAUUUCAGAGAUUGGGAAUUUAAUUUGGAAAUCGGAAUUUUUAAAGGAUUAUUUAAAGAUGAAAAUUUGUAAGAUAAAAUUAUUUGGGUGCUAGAUUUCCAUAAAUCAACUUUUAAAAUUUGAGGGCUUUGGAAAUGGGCCAAGGGUGAUAACCAAGCAAAUGGGAGCAUUUAGGAAUGGCCAAGGUGGAGAGAAAAUUUAAAAUGAUGCUCAUGGGCCUGGGCUUCAAAAUGCACUUUGAGAUGACCCUAAAAUGGAGAAAGGCCUUCAAAAUGCACUCACGGGCCUUGGGCUUCUCCAAUCCAUUGUGCAAGAAAAUAAGUUUAGUGGGCUUUGGAAGUGGGCCAAGAAAGGUGGCCAUGCAAAGGUGGGUUGAUGGGUAUUUGGAAAAUGGGUAUGUGGUGUAGAGAGAUAACCGGGUAGGGAGUAGAAAGUGAGUGAGUUAGUGAGAAAAUGAGGGUUGGUAGUGGUGGUGGUGUAGAGAGAGAAAACAGUGCAUGAAGGGUAUGUGGUGUAGAGAGAGAAAGGUGGUAAGAAGAAGAAAAAUGGGUAAGUGGAGGAUAGUUAUGCAUGGGAGGGUGGUGAUAUACAUGAGGGCAUGGAGGAUACGGGUAUGGAGGUUAGCAUGGGUAUGUGUUGAUGAAUGGCAACCAUGGGGGGUGGCCAUGCAUGCACGAUUCCCAUGCAUGUAGGUGGGUGGCUUUGGGAUUCCUAUGGGGAUGAGCAUGGCAUGGGUAUGGUGGGCAGCCGGGUAUGAAAAGGGAUGGUUUGCAUGGGUAUGAGGGGUGAUGGCUAUGGGUAUGGUGGGCAGCCGGGUAUGAAAAGGGAUGGUUUGCAUGGGUAUGAGGGGUGAUGGCUAUGGGUGCAUGCAUGGGAUGAGUGAUAUGGAACGAGCUAGUGAGAGAAAGGGUGAUGGGAAGGAAAAUGGGUAUGAAACAAUGGGUUUGAUGGCUAUGGGUGCAUGCAUGGGAUGAGUGACAUGGAACGAGCUAGUGAGAGAAAGGUGGCGACAUGCAUGGGUAAGGUGGGCAUAGAAGGGUGGUGGCAUGCAUGGUUCCAUGCAUGGCUUCAUGCAUGUGGAUAGGAAGUGGGCAUGAAGAACGUGGUGUAGAGAGAGAAAGGUGGCGACAUGCAUGGGGGGAAUAUGCACCGAAUAGUGAGAGGGAAUGGGUUUGGUGACGUUCAAGAAGAAAUGGAGGUGUGUAUGAGAGCUAUGGAUGGGUAUGAGAGCAAUGGGAAUGCAUGAGGGAUAGGUUGAUGGGCAUGGUGGAUGGCAAUGGGGAAACGGGCAGUGGGUUUCAUGCGCACAAGGAGUGAGAAAAGGUGGUGGCGGGUAGCAAAACAGUUCAAACGAGACAACAACAAUUAACAUCUCCACAUAGAGCAAAAUGAAGCAACAAAACUUCUCCAGGUUAAAACCAAUACUAAGAGGGAUCAUGAAUGAAACGAUCAGCAUGCAUACGAAGAAACCAGAAAUUGAUGUUACUCAUAUAUAAAUCUUGUUAUUCCUAAACAAGCAUAAAAGCGGAACUCGAACAACUCUAGGAGAAAGAGAAAACAGUAGUGGUAAAAAAAUAAAGCAAAGGAUACAUGAUGAGCUUACCUGGAUGCUCCCUCGAGCAAAAAUAUUUGGAUCUCACAAAACCUCCACCUUUGUUUAGCCUCCUCUCCGAGAAAAAGAAACUCCUCUAGCCUGCGUCCCCCUCCCCAGCUCCCAGAACCCCCUUUUCAUUCCUCUGUUGGUGUCUUCUUCAGCAAGCCAACCCUCCAUUUCCAGUUCAUCACGUCAGCAAGCAUGGGCUUGCAACCACUCUCCUCGCUGCCCACGUCUCUUGCCGUGUCUAUGAAGUUGUUCCCUCUUUAGAAAAGGGGUCCCCCCAUCCUACCAAAAAAAAGAAAAACACCCUUCUCUCGGGUGGUGGCAGCCAAAAUAAAAAUAAUCCCCUUGGUCUUGCAAGGAGGGGUCUACACAUAUUUUAAAAUUAAAUAAUUUUAAAUAUUAAUUAUGUAAAUGUAUGAAAUUAAACCAUCAUGGUACUAAGAAUAUUUCUAAAAAGUUUUAGAUGUUAUAUAUAUAUAUAUAUAUAUAUUUUAAAUUAUUAAAAAUAUUUAAAGGAAAUUUUCAAAAGAAAUUGAAAUUAAAAAAAAUUAUUAGAAAUUUUUAAUAAUUUUAAUUAUUUCGUAACAAAAACCUGUAAAAAUUAUUUUAAAGAAUUCAAUCAUUUAUAUUAUAAAUUUUGGUAUUUUUUAUAUGAAAAAGAUGUAUGUCUUUUAAGUCGUUGUUUUAUAACUUGAUUUAAUUUAUUUAUUACCUAAUAUUAUUCUUAGUUCUUAUAUCAAAAAGCUUAAAUUUUUUCAUGUUCUUUUGAAAGUGAUGACUAAAAUUUUCAUAAAUAUCAAAAUUAAUACCGCUUAAUUUUUUCCCUUUUUAAAUAACUAAAUAUAAGAUAAUUUAAAGUAAAGGUUUUUACUUUAUAAAAGCAGUUUAAAAGUAUUAUUUUUAUGAUUUAAUUAAAUCCAAUAAAAAGAAAAAAAAUUGAAUAAACAAGAAAAAAGAAAUACCAAUAUUAAAUGAGAUUUUUUUAUUUUUGGUUAUUUUAUUUCAAUUUUAAUAUUUUAUUAGUAAUUAAUGAUCAAUAUUAUUUUUUUGGUAAUCAUAUUUAGUUUUCAUUAUUUUAAAAAUUAAAUUUAUAUAUUUUUUGGUUUUUAUUUUCCUAAAAAAAUUUAACAUAUAAGGGAAUUUUUUUGUUUCUAGAAAAUCGAGGCUGGGGGGACACAUGGCCCCCUGAACCUUAGUCGGCUCCUCCGGUGACGACACGACUCAUUUUCUAGAAAAAAGUUACGUCCACUCCGUGGCCUGUCCAAGUUUUCCUUUUUUCCAUUAAAAAAUUGUGUGCUAUUAGAAGUCGAUAAGACUUGCAAAUUAACCCAAAACCACCAAGUGUCCAAGACACCAAAAGAUGGAGGGGCAUUUUGGUCAUUCUCCUUAGAAAUUUUCUUGAGCGGUUGGCAACUAUGACUUGGUCUCUGCGUGGUUGCGUGGUUGUAUGGAAAAUGAACCAUUAUAUAUAUAUAUAUAUAUAUAGCCUAGGUUUUGUGAGCAAAGGGUGUGCAUUGUAGCCAUGGCUAAAACUCUCCUCGUUUCACCUUUCUACUUCAUCUUCUUCAUCUUCCUCAUUUUUUCUUCUACCACAACUCCAGCUUUUGGAGAAGAAUACAGCUACGCCAAAAGUGUCAAUCCUAAAAAAAUGAAGAUGUUGAGGGAAAAGGUAAGUCAUUUUAAACUUUAUUGGCAGGAUGUUGUUAGCGGGUCUAAUGCAACCUCAGUCACAGUAAUUGAAGCAGUGAAUAACUCAUCAACAUCUUUUGGUAUGGUAAAUAUAUUUGAUAACUCGUUAACCAUUGGGCCAAAUUUGAGCUCAAAAACGGUUGGAAAGGCUCAAGGGCUUUACGCAUCUACGGGACAAGAAGAUACUUCAUUAUUGAUGAUUAUGAGUUUUGCAUUCACUGAUGGCAAGUACAAUGGUAGCACAUUCAUUGUGCUAGGACGGAACAAUAUAAAUGCUGAGGUAAGGGAGAUGCCAAUAAUCGGUGGCAGUGGACUUUUCCGAUUUGCUAGAGGCUAUGCUCUAGCAUCAACUUACAACGAUGGCGCCACCAUUGAAUACAAUUGUUAUGUCAUACAUUAUUGAUUUUUUUUUUUCUAAUUUUUAGUGGAGCUUUAGUUCACGAUAGUUAUAUACUUGAAUAAUUGUGUGUUCCCACCAUAGCUAAGUGAGAUUCUCUAGUUUUUCUUAAUUUGAAUAAAUUAGGUGGCUCUUACUUCACCUAGAUGAAUGUAAGCAUACUAUAAUAAAAUAAAAUAAAAUGCUUAUUUGUGUGGAUUAAUUACUUUCUUGAAAUUUGUUAAACCGUACAUUAUUCUAAAAAAAAAAAAUUGGAGAGAAGUAGAUUUAAAAGCUUAUAUCAACAAAGUUGAAGCGGUAUCACUUUUCUAUUCAACUUAAGCCCGUCUUUGUGGGUUGAUUUGAUAUGUUUGAUUUAUGACAUAUAUGACUUUUGAAUAUAAGGCUAAUUGGGUGAACUACCUUUGCUUUGUUUAAUAAGAAUGACAUAUUUCUUUGAUUUCACAUGACUUAAAUUAUCUUAACCAAACCAAAAUAUAUUCAACUUUCACUAAUUUUUAGUCAUAUAUUAUGAUAAUGAAGUGUGAACACGCUCAAAAAUUUGAGCAGCAUUCUCAUUUACAAAAAUGUUUUUAAGAAAUGUUUUGAUGAAAGUUAUAAAUUUUAUUUACCUUGACGUGAUACAUAAGUUGACUUUUUCUUUUAUUUCACUUAAGAUAUGAUUUAAUUGAACAUAUUUCAAAAGAAGAUAUGAUUCUUAAACAACAAUCUUUGCCCAUUAUUUACAAAUUCUACAAGGUCCAUAGCUAAGGUUUGAAUCAAAAUGGGCUAAAAAUUAAUGUCAUCUCAAUUUUGCUUCAUUUUUUAGACAAGCAAUCAUGACGGUGUUCAAUAAGUUCAUGUGUCUAUAACAAGCAAGCAACUAUAAUAGAAUAAGACCAUUUUUAUUUUUAUUUUUGCUAUUUGUAUGGUCCAAUAUGUUGCGCUCAUUACAAUUUGAGCCAUAGCCUAAUGGGCUUUUUACCCCAUGAUGUGGUUACCAAUUAAAAAUUGGACCUCAUUAGGGUUCACCAAGUAUAAAGCCCCUUUACCCUUGAAGAUUAAAUGGAGAUUAUUUGUCAUAGGUGAAAAGAGAGAGAGAGACUUAUAUUUAAACUUUUAAAUUGAAAGACCCUUGACCACUAAUUGUUAAUCUAAGUGAAUGAAAGAAAAAUCAAAUAACUCUCAUUUUGAGCAUUCAAGAGUAUCUUUUUUAGAAAAUUGAUAAAAUAAUAUGAUUAGAUAAUUUGGUUAGAAAAAAUAAUAUAUAUAUGAAAGGUUUGGUAUAUUGGUGCCAAACAAUACAUAAGAAAAUACUACAAUUAGAGAAAAAAGUUGGGAACAAUGCAUGUAUGUAUGUCACUAAUUUUUUAGUUAGGAAAACUUGUGUUUUGGGUCGGCCAUUUGCAAAUAAUAUGGUUUCCAAAACCCAAGAAUAGGAAAUCUAGGAAUCAGUUUGUUAAUAUGGAAAAUAAUAUUGUUUUGUGCACUCUAUGCUAACUUUUUUUUUUCUGUGCCCAAAUUGCCCUCACCCACUCUCCAUGUCAAUAGUCACAUUAACAAGUUGUUUCCAAAACAAAAAAAAUAAAAUACAAAAAAUACAAAAACAAAAAAUUAUGUUGUUUAAAAUUUUAGGGAAACUUCAUUUCUCUCAUUCACUUCCUUACCACACCCAAGACCCAUAUUCCCAAAACUUCUUCAUCUCAUUUUGCCCUAACCCCAAAUCUGAAAUAUCCCAACAUUUGAAAUCCGAAAACGAUUGAUUUUACAACAACUGAGGUUUUCCCUUCACCAUGAACCCCAAAUAGAAAACCCUAAUCUUGAAACCCAUAUUUUCUUUUUUCAUUAUCAAAGUUGAAUUUUUUUAAGGUUUCUAGAAACCAAACUGAAGUUUUCCCUUGUUUCAGAUGAAUCGAUCGCAAAUGAGUUUUCUGAGAAAAUAAAGGCUAGUAAGAAAAACACCUAAAAGGGGGGUGAAUUGGGUUUGUCAAAAACUUUUUCAACACAACUAAUUUAAGCACAAUAUAAGCAAAUAUAAAGAGAUAGAGUUAGAGAAUUCAAACUCAGAUUUUAUAGUGGUUCGACACUUUCUUACUUACGUCCACUUUCCUUAAGCUCCUAACCAAGUGAGAGUUCCACUAACUUGAAGCUUCAACCAAGUUUCUAAUCUUCUUUACACUUGGAUUCCGGCUCCAAUGGGUACUUACACAAUCUCUUCAAGAUUCAACACACUUGAAGACUCUAACACUCAAUUUACAAAAAUGAUUUUCUCUCAACCUAGAUCAAUAAUGACUCAAAUACAAAUCAAAGUUAAGAUGGCUCACAAGGGUGCACUAAAAGAUAUGCAAGUGAAGAUUUAAUGUACUAAGAAAUAAAUGAGAGCUUUUAAGGCAAGAACAAGUGGGUAGACAAUUGAAUGCAAGCGUUCUUUUCUACAUAAAUGAAGUGGAACUCUCAAUUUAUAGGUUUUUAAGCUCGGGAGCCAAGAAAAGCAAAAAGCAACCUUAACCGGUCGAGUUGGGGGUCAACCGGUUUACUAGCGAUUGUAACAUUUAAUACUUUGGCAGGUUACCGUUGCCUCGAUUGGACCUCGACUGGAGGUUGACCGGGAAAGAGGGUACCUCAACCGAGAAAGAAAGGCUAUUGGAUGAGAGAUAGUGUUUUUGACACUCCUCGACUGGACCUCAUCUGAUAAGGGCAACCGGUCGACCGAUUCCCUGGCCGAUUGAGUCGGUUGGUUUGUGUCUCGAUCAGUUCAGCCUUUUGGCCCCGAAAACCUAUCUUUUUCAGUUCUUUUCCUUUCUAACACUUAGGCAAGGUCUUUAGGUAAAUUAAUAUGUCAAUUUUGAAAUAUUUUGCCUCAGAUACAUUUGAUAAAACUCGGGUUUUAAUGAAAUUGUAACUUUAAAGAAUAAACUGAGUUUUCCAAAAAUGCAUAAAAAGAUAUGUAAAACCAUAGUGCACCCAUACAUUCAUCUUACAUUUGUUUCCUAUGAUUAAAAGUCUUCCAAAUGUCUCGAUCUUGUAUCCAUUUGGUCGUUUGAUGAAUUUCCAAAUUUAUACCUGAGAUUCUUUACAAUUCAAACCAAUUAGUCACUUAACCAUGGUUUGUUAUCAUCAAAAUUUGAUUAGGAGACCCCUUGGGCUAACAAUCUCCUAUUUUUUUAUGAUGACAAACCUUGGUUAUCUAGGAGAAGAAAAAAAUCUCUCCCUCAAACCAAUCAUGGAUCAAUCAAUCAAAAUUUACGAUGUUAAAACAAAGAUAAUGAAAACAUGCGAAUUUUCAAUAGGAAACGAUGUAAGUCGUGAAACAUAUAACAUAUCAUAUAUAUAGUAAAGUCAAAUGUACACGAAACAUAAACAUAUAAGCUAAUCCAAACAGAUGAUAUGACAAUGAUAUGCAUGAGUCUCCUAGAUACUAAAUAUCUCUCCCCCUUUUGGCAACAUAAAAAAGAAACGAAGGGAGAUCUCUAUGAAAUCAAGGUUGAGGAGGUGGAAGUGGAAACACGGAGUGUAGGUAAACCAUCAUCUACUCAUGUUGACUUUCCUGGUGACUCUCAAUAAGCUUUAUCCUCUGCUGGAGAUGUUUAAACACAGGUUGCUGCUGAUCUAUGCGAUUCUUCAUACGCUCAAAUCUCUGCUACAAAUACUCAAAAUGAAAUGUGAAGUCAGUCUUAUACUUAUCCAUGUGAUCCUCCAUAGAGUAGAAUCGAGUAUCACUAACUACUGCAAACUCCUCCAUGCGAGUGUCGAGAGAGCUAAUCUAAGCAGAUAAAUCCAUCCAAGGUGCAUGAUCAGGGGCGUGAGGUGCCUGAUGAGGUGAUGUCUCUGUGUAAGAAGGCUCAGUGAAAGAUGGCUGAGAAGAUGGUCCCGCUGUGUAAGCCAACUCAGAGAAUGUGGCUUCAAACUAAACACCCUCGGACUAGAGUGGAAGAAUGUCAAGCUCAGGCUCUCUCUACUCAAAGCCUCUCUAAGGGUCUAAUCCACCCUCCAUCUCUCGUAUCUCAGCCUCUUCCUCUACUCCAUGAUGCACAUGUCCCUGUCCCCAAGCCUGUGUUGGUGGUCUCUCUCCUAUCUUGAUCCAGGAACCAUCGGGGGCCUUCUCAAAUUUCAUUUGCCCCAAGGACUGCUCAUCAUAUGUGACGUAAAUGCUGGGAACCUCAAAAUUUGUCUCCCUGCUCAAAUCAACCCCAACAUCCUUGAACACUCUAGUGAGAAAGCGGUUAUAUGGGAGUACGCGGGUCAUGCUCUCACAACAUGAUAUCAUGUGCAUCAUCAUCAAACACCCCACGUGAAUCCAUCUCCCCGUCAAAAUGGAGUCCAUGAGGAAUGUGUCAAGGUAGGAGACCUCAUCUCGGUGUUUGCCUCAUGGCAGUAUGAUGAAGCAGAUCAUGUGGUGAAAUACUCAACUGAUCAUGGUCAGGCUAUGGGUCGAUGGUUUGCCCAUCCCCUGGGCGUCUGCAAGUCUGCAAAUCCUCUAAAUGGCCUUUCUAGGCUCGAAACCUGACACAGUGGGCCAAGCCUUGGACUCAGACACCCUGAGUUCAACUGGAGCAAUAUUGAAAAUGUGGCAGAUGUUCUCUGGGUCCAACUGAAUCUCAACUCCUCUAACGGUGGAAAUAAUCAGGUCACCAAGUCCAUAUGUAGCCCUCAAAUAGAACGCACGCACCAAAGUCGGGAAAAUAGGCUCUAAAAUCGUCACUACUGGCAGCCAACCCAUCCAACUGAAAAAGCUCUCAAACCCGAAAUGCUGUAGUUGGGAGAGAUUGAUGCUUCUCCCUGGAACUACUUUUCUCUUAGCGAACUUUUGCUUGUAACUCUGAUAAUCAUCCAUGGUGCUAAAAAGAGUAGUGUCAAACCUCGCCUUUCGGUAAACCUUCGUCUAAGCAAGCUGAGGCGACUCAAUUGGGUGUUUGCCCUGUGCCCUAAAGGCAGUCAAUUCUCUUUUAGGAGCCAUGAGAAGACGUGAGACACUGAAGAAAGAGCUAGUAAAGAGAGAAAUGAACACAAUCAAAAUCCCUAGGCGCGUGGAAAUGGAAAACAAGUCGAUUGUGACAUGCAGAAGCACUCCAAAGCCGAAACCCUAGCCUCCAAUUGUCCCAAAAAUCCAUUUCAAUGCCUGCAAUUGGUCCAAAAUCUUGCUCAAACUGGUCUCUGGAAGCAGAAAUGUGAAAAACCCUGAAGAAAUGAAGGAGAACAGUGGAGAAAACGAAGCGCGGAGGCUCUUUAAAUUCCCAACCCCGACGAACCGGCUGACCGGUCUUGGUUCAGUCAACCACCUGGUCAAUGGGUUUGACUUUUAACCUUUUGUGCAUUUUCUUGUCUCGUGGUCCUCCUCCUGCUCUUUUCAGUUGAAAUCCCCAAUUUUUUAUGCCCAAUGCCAAGGGAAUUUUGAUUUUUGGUUAAAAUUUUGACCAUUUAUCUAAGUAUAUGUUUAUAUGAUGCAAAUGACAUGAAAUUCAUGCAAUCAUAAGGAAUAUUCAUCAAGAAUUGAUUAAGCAAUCAUUAGAUCAUAAAGAAAUCACCCCUAGUUGUCUUCUAAUAUUAACAAAUUGUUCUUCACUUAGAGGUUUUGUAAAUAUAUCUAAAAGUUGAUAUUUUGUGCUUACAAAUUCAAGUGUUAUGCCAAUAUUUUGUGCAUGGUGUCUAAGAAAAUGAUAUUUAAACUCUAUAUGCUUAGUCUUAGAGUGUUGUACGGGAUUUUUUGAAAUAUUUAUGGCACUAGUGAUAUCACAUUUAAUAGGAACAUGCUCAAAAGAUAAAUCAAAAUCACUAAGUAUUUGAUGAAUUUCCAAAUUUAUACCUGAGAUUCUUUACAAUUCAAACUAAUUAGUCACUUAAUCAUGGUUUAUAUCAUCAAAAUCUGAUUAGGAGAACCCUUGGGCUAACAUUUUCCAUUUAAGGAUUUGUUUGGUUGUUGAUAAAGUCUUGGGGUCGAAGGUCUUUGUUUGAAGAAGACCCAAUUUUAGGGAUUGCAUGAGUUGGAAUUUCUUUUAUUUUGCUUCAUUUUCGCAUGAAUGAAAUAAAGGAUAAAUUUGUUUUGGUUAAAUAUAUGUUUGUAUUUGUAAAUAAAGUAGAAAAUUUUAUUUUCUUUCCAUGAUUUGUGUUAUCAUCAUAUUUGUAGGGAAAUUAGUUGAUCUAUAUUAUUGCUAGUUGAUGGAUUUUUUCUUUUAAUUUUAAUGGGAUAUAUGACAAUUAAUACUAGCAAAUAAAGAUAUGGGAAAGAUUCUAUGCUUGGUUGUUUUUAAUUGUAAUUGAUUUACUAAACUAGUUCAUGUUUGAUUUAAUAACAAAUUAAAUUAGUUCAUACUAUGUGAUGUAUUGUUGAUAACUUGUAUCUGCAUAUUUUGAUUCUUUGAUGGUUCGAUUUAUUGUUUGUAUGAAAUGUUCAAUGUUGCUUUAGUUUGUAGGAGGUGGAAUAAAAAUGUUUGAAAAAACUGACUAUAAGAAAUAGUGUAAAGGAUUUGCAUGAAUUGGUUGAGAGAAUGGAUAUGCAAAUGUGGAUUGCAUAUAUGUAUUAUGUUGGUGUGUAAGAGUCUUUGGUUAUUGUCUUGAACAAAGUAUGUUGUAUAUCACCUUAUUUAGUUACAUUUGCAUUCACUUACUGGUAUUUUAAUACACAUGUGUAAAAGAACAAAUAUAAAUUUAAUUAUGAAUGAACAUAAAUGUUAGCCCAAAGGUUCUCCUAAUCAAGUUUUGAUGAUAACAAAUCAUGAUUAAGUUACUAAUUGGUUUGAAUUAUAAAGAAUUUCAGGUAUUAAUUUGAAAUUUCAUCAAAUAACCUAAUGGAUGCAAGAUCAAGACUUUUGGAAGACCGUUAAUCAUAGGAAACAUAUGUAAGAUGAAUGCAUGGGUGCACUUAAGAUUUACAUAUCAUUUCAUGCAUCUUUGAAAAACUUAGUUUAUUCUUUAAAGUUACAGUUUCAUCAAAACCCUAGUUUUAUCAAAAGAAUCUUAGGCAAAUCACUUCAAAAUUGGAAUAUUAAUUUAUCUAAAGACCUUGCCUAAGUGUUAGAAGAGAAAAUACAAAAAAAAUAUAGGUUUUCGAGUCAAAAAUGGUGAACCGGUCAAGCCUCUGUCCAAACCGGCUCAAUCGGCCACGGUACCGGUCAGCCGGUUUCCUCUUCCUGAUCGAGGUCCGGUCGAGAGGAGCAAAAAACACUCUCUCUCUCUCUUCUAGUAGUCUUUCCUUCCCGGUCGAGGUCUAGUUGAGGGUAAUGGUCACCUGCCAAGUAUUAAAUGAUCCAACAACUAGUGAAUCGGUCGACUCCCAGCUCGACCGGUUGAGGUUGCUUUUUGGUUUUCUUGGUUCCCGAUAUUAGAAACCUAUAAAUAAAGAGCUUCACUUCAUUUAUGAGCAAGAGAACACCUACAUUUAUUUGCCCACCCACUUGUUCUUGCCUUAAAAGUUCUCAUUCUUUUCUUGGUGCAUUAAAUCUCCAUUUGCAUACUCUUUAGUGCACCUUUGUGAUUCAUCCUAACCUUGAGUUGUAUUUGAGCCUUUGUUAAGCUAGGUUGAAAGAUUCAUACUUGUUAAUUAAGUGUUAAAGCCUUCAAGUGAAUUGAAACUUAAAGAGAUUGUGUAAGAGCCUAUUGGAGCCAGAAUUCAAGUGUAAAGGUGAUUAGAAGCUUGGUUGAAGCUUCAAGUUAGUGGAACUCUUACUUGGUUAAGAGCUUGAGGAGAGUGAACGUAGGCAAGGAAGUGUUGAACCACUAUAAAAUCUGAGUUUGAUUUCUCUAACCUUAUCUCUUUAUUUUUGUUUCUCUUGUGCUUAAAUUUGUUGUGUUUAAAAAGAAUUUUUAAAAACUCAAUUCACCCCCUCUCUUGGAUGUUUUUCUCUUUUAAGAUUAGCCUUUAUCUUCUCAAUAAGUUAUAUAGAAAUGGUGACAGAUAUUUCAUAUUUGGAUGUGAUAUCAUAUUGGAAUUUGUUGUUAAGAAAAAUAAGAGCAUGUUUGAAAUGAAUGUGAUUUAGUGCUUUUUUUGUUUUGGGGAAAGUAUGUUUUGGAUUGGAGAUGUGAAUAUGAAUAGGAUUUCUGAAGCUAAGAUGGUCGAAAUUGAAGAAAAAUAUGCUUCGGUCGAAAGUUAUUACAUAUUGGGCAGUUAUUUGUUUUUGUAGGUUAGUCUUUUGUUAAUCUUAGGUUCUACCUUCAUUAAACUUUGGUACUACUUUUAUUAAAUGAUCGCUCAGAUUUUUUGUCGUUUGUUGGAUCAAAACAAAAUUUAUAACCUAAUUCACUCUUCUAUAGCAAUUUGUACCUGAUCAAAAAUUGGCUUUAGUACAAACUACUGUAGCAUAGUGGUUUUUAGGUAUCGUCCACAAGGAUGGAUUAUUCUUGGUGAUUAAGGCUUGAAUGAGAUGAUAAGAAGUGAUUGUGAAAAAGUGAAAUCAACUUGAAAUUGCAUGAUAAAAUUCCAAAUUAACAAUGUAUUCAAAUUGAAUUGAAAAUGAAGUUUAAAAGAGAAGAAAAUUUAUAAGAGGUGAGAUUCUCGGAGUUAGGAUUUUCUAGAGAGCAAUUUCCAUGGUGAAUGGGUGUUAAGAUCUAAUUUUCAUCAAGUUAGAUUGAAAACCUAAAUUUUCAUCUAAACCGAUUUUUGAUUUAACUUUAGAUCUAGAUCUAAUUUCUCUUCAAAUUAGGUAAUCUAAUCUAAGAGAUCAAUUUGAAUCAUAUAUUCAAUUCAUCUUAAAUUAUCUUCCAAUGAUUUCACACNNNNNNNNNNNNNNNNNNNNNNNNNNNNNNNNNNNNNNNNNNNNNNNNNNNNNNNNNNNNNNNNNNNNNNNNNNNNNNNNNNNNNNNNNNNNNNNNNNNNNNNNNNNNNNNNNNNNNNNNNNNNNNNNNNNNNNNNNNNNNNNNNNNNNNNNNNNNNNNNNNNNNNNNNNNNNNNNNNNNNNNNNNNNNNNGUCUUCCGGAUGCUUCUUCAUCAAGGAAUCUGGAGAGAAUGCCCUUUCGCACGAGCCCCAAGUGAUCCCGCAUGAUGGUGCGAAGUGAAGAAUCAAUCAGCUGGAAUUUCGUUCUUCUGGAGCGUUUCGCAUGACUGUGCGAAAAUUUCGCAUGGUCAUGCGAAAUCACUUCUUCACAAUUUCCUCAUAUGCUGCAGCCAUACUCUCUCUGUUUCAUUUCGCAUGAUUGUGCGAAAAUUUCGCAUGGUCAUGCGAAAUCGAAAAUCAUGCUAUUCCGGUUCUUCUUUGCAAAUUCUCUCAUUUGUUCAUGUUUAAUCCAUCUCCACCACCUUCAAUUAAGCUCCAAAGCUUGGUCCAAGUGCAUUUCCUCUUCCUCUUCAUCCACAUUAUGUAUCCUCCUCCGUUCCAUUUUCCAUUUGUCACUCCAUGCUUCAAAAAUCACCUUAAAAUAUCUCCAAAACUCAACAAAGAACCAUUAGAAUCUCUUGCAAGGGUAGCAAUGUAUUACUUGGGCAUAUUAGGCAUAAUUACUACUCAAAAGGUGUGAAACUCAUGAAAGUUAGUAUCUAAAAUAUGUGGUUUUUGAGUAGUAAUCAUUAAACUUAAGGACUACCUUUAUUUAACUUAGGUACUACCUUUAUUAAACUUAGGUACUAUCUUAAUGCACCUUAGAUACUACCUUAAUCUACUUUAGGUACUAUCUUAAUGCAACUUAGGUACUAUUUAAAUGCAAACCUUAGGUACCACUUGGAUGUACACCUUAGAUACUUCUUGGAUGUACACCUUAGGUACUCCCUUAAUGCAAACCUAAGCUAAUCUUAUCUACUAUCUUAAUUGAGCUUAGGUACUUCAUUCGUGGAGUAUAGGUACUUGAUUUGUGGAUCAUAUGUGCUUAAUUUGUUAACCUCGUGUAGUUCAUUUGUCAAUCUUAGGUACUACCCUUCUCAAUCAUAGGACCUAGUUUUGGCAUUGGUACUAGCUUGGAAUCCAUAGUUUGAAGACAAAUUGAGAAAUAUGGAACUUUCAAACUCAAUACACAAAUUGUUUAAUUGCAUUUUAUAUAUGAGCAUAACAUUAUUAUGUUGUACUAGGUUAGUGAGUUGGUUGGCCUUAAACGUGACAUUACUAUGAUGAAAUCUAUAGUUUAUAGGGUUGAUUUUCUUUUAAGGAUGAAUCAUGUAAAGGUGUGGUAUUAAAAAAAAUAUAGAUUUUUUAAAGAAUUUUCACAAAAUAAAUCAAGAAAUAUGCACUCAAAUAGUAAUGUUGUUAAAAUUCUAAAAGUGUCCCCUCAAGUAUUUUCUCUUCGACCAGCUAAUCCAUUUGUUUUGUUUUGCUUUGUUUUUCCUUUUUUAUUUUUAAACCUUCAUAUGAUAAGUGAAGAUAACUUCAUGAUGUUUAUCAAAUUGACACAUGGCUAAUUAAUAUGGCAUAUUAUUUUCCUUUUUUUUCUUCUUCUUCAUUUUACCUAUAAAAUAAUGCACAUUUUUUUAAUAUGUUAGUUACACAUUGUUAUAAAAUCUUUUUAAUUUCAUUUUUUUUUUCACUUUUUCAUCUUUUCAUAUUUAUUAAUUAUAAUUAUUUAUAAACACUUUAAAUAUAAAAUAAUAAUAAUAUAUGAUAAAUAAUUAAUGAAGAAAUUAAUAUAAAAAUAAAUACAAAAUGAACAAAUUUAGAGGUUUAGAAUAUAAGAUUUUAUAUAUUCAUGUUAAAUAAAAUACUUAUUUUUUUGAUAAAUCUUAUCAUAUAUAGAUUAAAAAAUAUCUUUGUCGUUUUAUUUUAUUGUUUAUCUUUUUUAAUUUUUAAAUUUUCAUGUGAAAAUAAAAAUCAAUUGUCAUGAUUUUUAACUUUUUGCUUAUGAUUCUUACUUAAUUGUAAUUUUAACUUUUUUUUUUCUUAGUUAAAAUGUUUAAUAUUUUUCAUUAAAGAAGAUAAACUUGAUUGUGAUUUUAACAUUUUGUUUUGUUAAAAUUUUUAAUUUUUAAUUUAUAAAAAAUAAAAAAAUUUAAAAGCUGUAUUUAAUCAUUUAUAUUAAUUUCUAUCAAUUCUAUAUAAAAUAAAAAUAUUUUUUUUAUAAAAAAUUAUAUUUAGUUAUUUAUAUUAAUUUUCUCUUAAUUUUAUUAAAAAUUAAAAUUUUUGCAUACUAAAAUUAUGUAUUAAUAAACACAACUUUUGAAAAAUAGAGUAUCAUUCUUUUAUAUACUUAUUUCAUACGGAGUGGUACUCUUUUUGUACCAUUUUUCUAAUAGUUGUGUUGACCAAUACAUAAUUUCAGUAAAAUAAAAUUAAUAUAAAUUAUUAUAUACAAUUUUUUAUAAAAAAAAAUAUUUUUUAUUUUUAAAUUUAUAUAAAUUAAAAAUUAAAAAUUUUAAUAAAACAAAAUGUUAUAACUACACCAAAUUUUUGUCUUUUUUAAUUAAAAGACAUUAAGCAUUUUAGUAAAGAAAAAAAAAUUAAAACCUAGAUGCUAAAUCUCUAUAUUUGUUCAUCAUAUAUUUAUUUUUAUAUUAAAUUUGUUCUCACUAAAUAUUUAUUACAUGUUAUUAUUUUAUUUUUAAAAUAUCAAUAAAUAAUUAAAAUCCUAAAUAUGAAAAAUGAGAUAAAAAUAAAAUAAAAUUGAAAUGACAUCCUAAUGCCAACACAUUUAAAAAACAAUCAAAUAAAAUGGAAGAUACAGAUAUUACAGAGGUAGGGAAAAAGAAAAAAAAAUGAUGUGGUAUGGCUGAUUCCCAAGCGUCAAAUUUUUUGUUUAAAACAAAACAAUAAUAAUGACAAGCUCUUUGAAUUGUUGCGUGUCAAACUAAAACUAAAAAAAUAAAAAAUAAAAAAACUUUCAUAAUUGGCGGCUCAUGAGGAUUUUCUGAAACUGAUAUUUUUUUUUUAAAUGGCACACGUGUAACAUGACUCUCCCUUUUAUAAUGCUUCUGUCUCUCUCUCUCUCUCUCUCUCUCUCUCUCUCUCUCUCAUUCUAUGAUGGAAUUUAUAGUCGGUUGAUUUUUUUAAUGCCCAUGAGCAGCUGAUUUUUGAGGUAAUUGAAUAUUAAUGGCUGUGAGACCCAUUCUCAUAUGGUCUCUCUCUCUCUCUCAUAUUCUAGAUAGAAUCUAUAGUCUAUAGGGUUGAUUUUUUUUAAUGGUUGUGGGUUGCUGAUUUUUGAAGGAAAGUGAUUAAAUAUUAAUGGUCGUGAGACAGUCCCAUUUGGUCUCUCUCUCCCGCUCUCUCUCUCACAUUCUAUGAUAGGAUCUAUAGUCUAUGGGGUUGAUUUUUUUAAUGCCCAUGAGGAGAUGAUUUUUUAUGGAAAGUAAUUGAAUAUUAACGAUUGUGAGACCAAUUCUCAUAUGGUCUGCCUCUCCCUCUCUCUCUCUCUCUCUCUCUCUCUCUCUCUCUCUCUCUCUCUCUCUCUCUCUCUCUCUCUCUCUCCCCCUAUGAUAGACUUUAUAGUCAGUAGGGUCGAUUUUUUUUUAAUUGCCCUGAGCAGCUGAUUUUUCUAGGAAAGUGACAGAAUAUUAAUGGUUGUGAGACCAUUCUCAUAUGUUCUCUCUCUAUUUCACCCCCUCUCUAUAGUCUAUAGGGUUGAUUAUUUAUUUAUUUUUUAUGCCCAUGAGCCAUCGGCAGCUGAUUUUUGAAGGAAAGUAGUUGAGUAGUAAUGGGUUGGGACUUGUGAGACCCAUAAAUGUAGAAAGGAAUUCAAAAUCCUAAUAAAAAUGUAUUUCAAUGAAUAAUGAGUUUUUAAUUCAUAUUCUCAUGUUUAAUAAUUAAUUCACAUAAAAAAAACAAAUUAAAAGUGAAAUAGAUUUUUUAAUUUCAUUUUUUUGCUUCAAUGUCUCAAAGAUAUAUAAAAUAUGAGGAUUAUUCUCAUAUAUUUGAAAGGUUUACAAAAUGAUUCUAAAAAAAUAAUUUUUUUAAAAAUAUUCAAAAACAAGAAACUUGAUAAUUCAAUUUAAUUGCUUAAUUUAAAUUAUUAAAUAUAUUUAAUAAAAUAAUUUAAUGUUAAAAUUAUUUUUAUUUUUUAAUAUUAAAUUAAAAUAAUUAACUAAUACAAUUUCAAAGCCUUUUUACCUCAUUUUCCUCUACCAAUGUAAAAUAAUUAACAUAUACAUCAGACCUACCUUGACUCACAAGUUUGCCUUUUAAGUCUCCUUAUUUCCUGAUUUUAUUUAUUUAUACUUUAAUCUCAUUCUUUCUACUUAUAUCUAAAAGGUCUAAAUUUUUCUUUAUACUUUUAAAAAUGAGGAUUAAAAUUUCCAUAAAUACUAAAAUUCAUACUUUUUUUUUCUUUUUUCAAAUAACUAAAUAUUAGAUAAUUGAAAGUAAAUUCUUUUGGUCAAAACUUAUGUCUCAUAUAAUAAGUCAUUACAACAACAAUUUAAAAGUAUUAUUUUUUAUGAUUUAAUCAAGUAGAAUAAAAAAUUAAGUAUAAAAAAGGGAAAAUGUUGAAUAAACAAGAAGAAAGAAAUACCAAUAUUAAAUGAGAUUUUUUUUAUUUUAGUUUAAUUUUAAUAUUUUAUUAGUAAUUAAUGGUCAAUUUUUUUAUUUUUUUUUUGUAAUAAUAUUUAGUUGUCAUUAUUUUGAAAAUUAAAUUUACAUUUUUUUAGAGGGGGCAAAUUUUCUAUUUUGGUUUCUACUUUCCUAAAAAAGGUUUCACAUAUAAGGGAACUUUUUUGUUUCUAGAAUAUUGAAGGGGGGGGGACACGUGACCCCCUGAGUUGGGACAGAACUCGUUUUCUAGAAAAAGUUGGGCCCAACUAUGCCGUCGUCUUUCAAUGUUUUUUCCUUCUUUCCAUUUAAAAAACAAUGCGUGCUAUUACAAGUCGAUAAGACUUGCAUUUUGGUCAUUCUCGUUAGAAAAUCCCCCCUUUGUGUUUUGUCUUUGAGUGGUUGGCAACUACGACUUGGUCUUUGCGCAGUUGGUAAGUAUGACGCCUUGGAAAUUAGAAAAAUAUUAUUGUACGGAAAAUGAAACAUUCAAUAUAUGUAUAUAUAGCCUAGGUGUUCUGAGCAAAUGUAGAUAACUCAGGUUUUGUGAGCAAAGGCAUAUCAUAACUCAAGUUUUGUGAGCAAAGGGUGUGCACUGUAGCCAUGGCUAAAGCUCUCCUCGUUUCACCUUCCUACUUCAUCUUCUUCAUCUUCCUCAUUUUCUCUUCUGCCACAGUUUCAAUUUUCGGAGAAGAAUACAGCUAUGUCAAAAGUAUCAAUCCUAAGAAAAUGAAUAUGUUGAAGGAAAAGGUAACACACUUUCAACUUUAUUGGCAAGAUGUUGUUAGUGGGUCUAAUGCAACAUCGGUUACAGUGCUUGAAGAAGUGAAUAACUCGUCAACAUUGUUUGGUUCGGUUAGUAUAAUUGAUAACUCGUUAACCGUUGGGCCAAAUUUGAGCUCAAAAACGGUUGGAAAGUCCCAAGGGUUAUACGCAUCUACGGGACUAGAAGAAACUUCAUUAUUGAUGGUUAUGAAUUUUGCAUUCACUGAUGGCAAGUACAACGGUAGCACAUUCACCGUGGUAGGACGGAACAAUGUAAAUGCUAAGGUGAGGGAGAUGCCAAUAAUCGGUGGUAGUGGGCUUUUCCGAUUUGCUAGAGGCUAUGUUCUAGCAUCAACUUACUCAUUCAGCGACAACGGAGAUGGCACUAUUGAAUACAAUUGUUAUGUUAUACAUUAUUGAUAUUUUUUAUCUUUUUCUAGUUUUUUCAUGGAGCUUUGGUCCACAAUAGUGAUAUACUUAAAUAAUUGUGUGUUCCCACUAUAACUAAGUGAGAUUAUCUAGUUUUGUUUAAUUUGAAUAAAGGUGACUCUUCACCUAAUUUAAUGUAAGCAUAUUAUAAUAAAAUAAAAUGCUUAUUUGCGUGCUUAAUUACUUUCUUGAAAUUUGUUAAACUAUACUUUAUUCUUAAAAAAUAAAAAAAAUAUUGGAGAGAAGUAGAUUUCAAAGCUCAUAUCAACAAAGUUGAAAUGGUAUCACUUUUCUAUUCAACUUAGCCACUUUUUGUGAGUUGAUUUGAUAUGUUUAAAUUUUCACACAUAUAGCUUUUGAAUAUAAGGCUAAUUGGGUGGACUACCUUUACUUUGUUUAAUAAGAAUGACAUAUGUCUUUGAUUUCACAUGACUCAAAUUGUUUUAACCAAACUAAAAUAUAUUCAACAUCCACUAAUUUUUAGUCAUAUAUAAUGAUAAUGAAGUUAGGAAAAAAAAAACUAAAAAAUUUGAGCAACAUUCCCAUUUAUAAAAAUGUUUUGAUGAAAAUUAUAAAUUUUAUUACUUUGACAUGAUACAUAAGUUUAACUUUUUCUUUUGUUUCAUCUAAGAUAUGAUUUAAUUGAAAAUAUUUGAAAAGAAGAUAGGAUUCUUAAACAACAACCUUUUCCCAUUAUUUACAAAUUCUACAAGGUCCAUAGCUAGGGUUUGGAUCAAAAUGGCUAAAAAUUAAUGUCAUCUCAAUUUGGUUCAUUUUUUAGAUAAGCAAUCAUGAUGAUGUUGAAUAAGUUCUUGUGUCCAUAACAAGCAAGCAACUAUAAUGGAACAAGACCAUUUGUAUUUUUUGUUGCCAUUUGUAUGGUCCAAUAUCUUGGGCCCAUCACAUUUUGAGCCAUAGCCUAAUGGGCUUUUCACCCCAUGAUGUGGUUACCAAUUAAAAAUUGGACCUCAUUAGGGUUCACCAAAUUUAAAGCCCCUUAAGACCCUUGAAGAUUAAGUGGAAAUAACCAUUUGUCACAAAUGAAAAGUGAGAUAGAAACUUAUAUUUAAAAUUUUAAAUGGAAAGACCCUUGAACACUGAUUUUUAAUGUUAGUGAAUGAAAGAAAAAUCAAAUAACUCUCAUUUCAAGCAUUUAAGAGUACCAUCUCCUAGAAAACUGAUAAAAUAACCCUAUUAGAUAAUUUGGUUAGAAAAAAGAAAAUAUGAAGGGUCUGAUAUAUCAUUGUCAAACAACGCAUAAAAAAAAAACUAUAAAAGGACGAAUUUUCAUUGUAGGAUAAAGGAGAAUUUCUUAUUUUCAAUAAAUAAAAAAAUUUAAAAGUUUUGCAGCUUCAAUAAGUUCUAAUAAAUUUUAUCUUUUAUAUAUAAAUUAUUAUUAUUAUUAUUUUAUGAUUUUAAAAAAAUAUAUGAAAUAUGUUCAAAUGGGUAUUUAAUUAUAAAUAAAUGAUAACUAUUCUACUAUUUCUCUAAUACAAAAAUUAAAAAAAAACUAUUUGAAUAUUUUUAAAUGAAUUUCACAUUCAAAAAACUUUAAAUCAUUUUUUUUUUCUCUUCUUGGUUGUGAAAUAGUAGAUGAUGAAAAAUUAACCAUAAAUGAUUAAUUAUCAUCAUAAGUUUAAUCUUUAUCAAUUAUCCUUGUCCUAUUAAAGCAAGGUGACAAGUUGAAUUAAUGUGAUUAGGUUUAUGUAAGUUCAAAUCAAUUGUCCUCAUCCUUGUAUGAAAGUCAUGGACUCAUGGCAUGCGGCUAUAGCCCAUUGAAGGUAUAGAAGUAGUGUUAUUAAAGAUCAAACUUUAAGUAAAAAAAUUUUAAAGUAUUUUUUAAUAUUUUAUGGGAUACUAUUUUUAAAAAAUAAUAUUAAUUAAAUAAAAAAUCCUAACACUAAAACCCUGUAGAAAGAAGUUGGGAACAAUGCAUGCAUGUGCAUGUAUUUCAUGAGUUAUCUCUGAGUAUUGCCAUCCGUUGCCACUAAUUUUUUAGUCACCCUUUUUUCCCCUGAGAGAAUGGAGUGGAUGCCUUGGUGGAGCCUGUUUGCCAUCCAAAUGGGAGAUUGAAAUGCCUCUCUAUCCCCACCUGCUGCAGCAUCUCUCUCUCUCUCUCAUAUUCUAUGAUGGAAUCUUUAGUCUAUAAGGUUGAUUUUUUGAAUGCCCAUUACCAGCUGAUUUUUGAAGGAAAGGAAUUGAAUAUUAAUUCUCAUAUGGUCUCUCUCUCUUUCAUAUUCUUUGAAGAAUCUAUAAUCUAUAGAGUUGAUCACUUUUAAAUGCCCAUGAGCAGCUGAUUUUUGAAGGAAAGUGAUUGAAUAUUAAUGGCUGUGAGACCCAUUCUCAUAUCUUCUCUCUCCCUCUCCCCCUUUCUCUCUCAUAUUCUAUGAUAGAAUCCACAGUCAAUAGGAUUGAUUUUUUUUUUUUUUAAUGCCCAUGAGCAGCUGAUUUUUGAAGGAAAGUGAUUGAAUAUUAAUGGUUGUGAGACCCAUGCACUCUCAUAUGUUCUCUUUAUCUCCCCCUCUCUCUCAUAUUAUAUUAUAGAAUCUAUAAUCUAUAGGGUUGAUUUUUUUUAAUGCCCAUGAGCAGCUGAUUUUUGAAGGAAGGUGGUUGAAUCUUAAUGGGUUGUGAGACCCAUUAAUGUAGAGAGGAACUCAAAAUCCUAAUAAAAAUGUAAUUCAAUUAAUGAUGGGUUUUUAAUUCAUAUUCUCAUUUUUAAUAAUUAAUUCAAAUAAAAUAACAAAUUAAAAGUAAAAUAGAUUUUUUAAUUUCAUUUUUUGUUUCAAUGUCUCAAACAUAUGUAAAAGAUAUGAUGAUUAUUUUUAAGGUUUAUAAAACAAUUCUAAAAAAAGUAGAUUUUUAAAAAAUAUUUAAAAGUAAGGUGUUUGAUAAAUCAACUUAAUUACUUAAUUUUAAUUAUUAAAUAAAUAAAAUAUAUUUUAUAAAAUAAUUUAAUAUUAAAAUUAUUUUUUAUUUUUAAUAUUAAAUUAAAUAAUUAAUUUAUAUUUAAUUUCAAAACCUUUUCACCUCAUUUUUCCGUACCCAUGUAAACUAAUUAACAUAAAUACCGGACCUACUUGGGUCACAAGUUUGAAUGGUAAAAUGACAAUUUUAUCCAAUAGGAUGAAGGGUUUUGGCCCCCACAAUAAACCCUAGGGCCUACUUUGAUGGCGGCUGCCACCGUGGAGCCAGACACUUUUGUUAGGUGGGGCAUCAAGAGAAUUAUUAAUAUAUUAUAGUUAAGGUAAUUAAUAAUAUUUAUUAUUAUUAUUAAAAUUAAAUAAUUUUAAAUAUUAAUUAUUAAAAUGUAUGAAAUUAAACCAUCAUAAUACUAAAAAUAUUUUUUAAAAAAAGUUAGAUUAUAUAUAUAUAUAUAUAUAUAUAUAUAUAUAUCAAGAACAUUUAAAAGGAAAUUUCAAAAGAAACAAAAACUAGAAAAAAAAUCAUUAGAAAUUCUGAAUAAUUUUAAUUAUUUUGUAGCAAAAACCCUUAAAAGUUAUUUUUUAAAAAUUUAAGUACUUAUAUUAUAAAUUUUGAUAUCUUCGUGGAAAAUAUGUGCGUCUUUAAAUAUGAUAAUAGGACAAGGACAAUUGACAAAGAUUAAACUUAUGAUGAUAAUUAAUCAUUUAUGUCCAACUAGUCCAUGGUCUUUCCAAGUUUUCCUUCUUUCCAUUCAAAAACGGCAUGCUAUUACUAGUCGAUAGGACAUACAAAUUACCCAAAACCACCAAGUGCUCAAGGCAACUGGAGGGGCAUUUUGGUCAUUCUCGUUAGAAAUUUUCCCCAUUGUGAUGUGUCUUUGACUGGUUGGCAUCUAGGACUUGGUCUUUGCGCAGUUGGUAACUAUGACGGCUUGGAAAUUGGAAAAUAUUAUUGUACCGAAAAUGAAACAUUCAAUGUGUAUAUAUAGCCUAGGUUUUGUGAGCAAAUGUAUAUGACUCAAGUUUUGUGAGCAAAGGUAUAUCAUAACUCAGGUUUUGUGAGCAAAGGGUGUGCACUGUAGCCAUGGCUAAAGCUCUCCUCAUUUCACCUUCCUACUUCAUCUUCUUCAUCUUCUUCGUUUUCUCUUAUGCCACAAUCCCAGUUUUCGGAGAAGAAUAUAGCUAUGUCAAAACUGUUGAUUUUGAGAAAAUGAAUCUACCGAAGGAAAAGGUAACACACUUUCAACUUUAUUGGCAAGAUGUUGUUAGUGGGUCCAAUGCAACCUCUGUCACAGUGAUUCAACCAGUGAAUAACUCGUUACCAUUUUUUGGUAUGGUAAAUAUAAUUGAUAACUCAUUAACCGUUGGGCCAAAUUUGAGCUCAAAAACAGUUGGAAAGGCCCAAGGGCUUUAUGCAUCUACGGGACAAAAAGAAUCUUCAUUAUUGAUGGUUAUGAAUUUUGCAUUUACUGAUGGCAAAUACAAUGGUAGCACAUUCACCGUGGUAGGACGAAAUAAUGUAAAUGCUGAGGUGAGGGAAAUGCCGAUAAUCGGUGGCAGUGGGCUUUUCCGAUUUGCUAGAGGUUAUGCUUUAGCAUCAACUUACUCAUCCAACGACAAAGGAGAUGCCACUAUUGAAUACAAUUGUUAUGUCAUACAUUAUUGAUGUUUUUUCUUUUUCUUUUUUUAAUUUUUUGUGUGGAGUUUUGAUUCACAAUAGUGAUAUACUUAAAUAAUUGUGUGUUCCCACCAUAGGUAAGUGGGAUUCUCUAGUUUUGUUUAAUUUGAAUAAAUUAGGUGGCUUUUACUUCACCUAAUUGAAUGUAAGCAUACUUUAAUAAAAUAAAAUAAAAUGAUUAUUUAUGUGGAUUAAUUACUUUCUUGAAAUUUGUUAAACCAUACUUUACUCUAUUAUAAAAAAGUUGGAGAUAAGUAAAUUUAAAAGCUUAUAUCAACAAAGUUGAAGUGGCAUCACUUUUCUAUUCAACUUAUCUAGGCUUUGUUUGAUAAAAAUGACAUAAUUCUUUGAUUUCACAUGACCCAAAUUAUCUUAACCAAACUAAAAUAUAUUCAACUUUCACUAAUUUUUAGUCAUAUAUAAUGAUAAUGAAGUUAGAAAAAGCUCAAAAAUUUGUGGAGCAUUCCCAUUUACAAAAAUGUUUUUAAGAAAUGUUUUGAUGAAAAUUAUAAAUUUUAUUUACCUUGAUAUACAAGCUAACUUUUUCCUUUGUUUGACCUAAGAUAUCAUUUAAUUGAACAUAUUUCAAAAGAAGUUCAUUUAUUGCACCUCAUUGUUUACAUAUAACUCCACAUGAUGACUAGCUGCCUCCACCUCCAUUGGCCAUUCGGUAUAUAUUAUAAUAUUACCACAAAUUUUAAUAUUAUGAUGAUACAUGCAUAAACUUAAAUUCUAACAUUUAUUUAUUUAUUUAUUCUUUGUUAGUUUAUUUUUAUAGUUGGAGAUAUGAGUUUCAGACUAGUUCGAUUAGCAUGCACGUCUUAGCUCGGUAUAGUCAUCAUCUUGAUUGACUUACAACAUAUCAGGUAGUAAAAGUGUGAUUCAUUUCUUAUACUUGUUUCUCUAAACAAAUUCUAAAUCACUUAUUAUAUCUAACAUUUCUUUGGUACAGAUUAUAUGGCAACCUUAUGUUGAUGACAUGAAUGUUGGUCUUCCUGAUUAUUGUACUGCUGGGAAAUAUAUAUAGUGCACUAUCUCACCUUUGAUAUGUUUCCACAUAAUUGAAUGGUAUAGACCUGAUCGAGUAUUGCUGCAGUUUGGAUUUCAUCAAAGGAUUCCUCAGCCAUGUAAUAAUGAGUCAAUCUUACACAAAUGUGAUUUGAGAGGUAUACAUGAUGUUGAUUAGACUACUUGAUACGGAGACUACAUUCAAUGUUGGAUCUCUAGGCGUGAGCAUAUUGCUAGAGGCGAAAUGGUUUUAGGUUCAUUGGGGUAUCAUGAUCCAUACAUGGUGUGGUAUCGCUCCAUUACUAUUCGAUUUCUUACUCGAACUAGGUCCUUCCAUGAGGUACUGGUAAUUUUCAUGUUUUAUAUUUUUAUUAAAGUUUAUUUUAUUUUUAUAAGAAUUUAAUUUAUCUCCUAUUUGACUUACAGACUACCAGCAUACACCAGAUAUAUGAUAUUGCACCUCUAGAUGAUUUCCACAUUCGCAGACUAUGUAUGUAUUAGAGGCCAUACAUGAAAUGGAUCACUUAGAUGCUCCAUUUAAUGUUGAUGCUACUACACAGCUCCAACCUCGAUCAGGAGAUGUACGACCUACACGACAAGGGCCUCGUACAAGGGAGAUUAGGCAUACACCGGUUGUUACCUGAGUGCAACCAUUGAAUGACAUUAGUCCACCACCUCAUCAGCAGCCAAUAUCAUCCAUUACUCAAUCAAGAAGUGUAUGAACUAGAAGGGAAUGGGCUCACAUGAGAGGUAGUCUACCACCUCAUCAGCAGCCGAUAUCAUCCAUUACUCGAUCAGGAGGUGUAUGAACUAGAAAAGGAGCAGCUCAUACGAGAAGGACUACGCAUACAUUUGUUCUUGGAGAUGCAUCAUCGACUGACAUUAGCCCGCCACCUGUUGAGGAGACCCUUAUUACACCUAUGGAGGUGCCAUCCACACCACCCAUAGUAUUACUUGUUGCGUCAUCACCACAACCGAUAGAGGCUACAUUGGUUAAUGAGGAGUUAGUUCAUAUAGCAAAUGAUGAUAAGUGAGGAUAAAAGAAUGAUCGUGGUCGAGGACGUGGUAGGAGACGUGGUCGUGGAGUUCAUGAAGGGAUACAUGUUAGCCCCAUAGAGCCAAUAGUGGAACAUGCAUAUCAUGGACGUCCACAACGAACAAUAAAGGCUCAUUCAUGCAGUACACAUUGAGGACGUUACUACAUAUGACUUGUAUUUUGGAUACUAUUAGUAUUUUGCAUAUCAUUAUUUUGGACAAAUACUUAAGAUGUAUAUUUAUACUUGUUAUAUUUUGGAUUAACUAACUUUUUAUUAACGCAAGUUCUAUUGUAUUCUAUCUAUUUUGGACUUAUUUUACACAAAAUAGUAUUGUUACUAUUUUGGAAAGGUGCUGAUUUAAUUGACAUUUGGUUUACUUGUUUUCAUUGGUUUUGGAUUGAAUGUCAAAAUAUUGAAUAUAAUGUAUACAGGUGAUAAACUUUAAACAUUUGGUUAUAUAUAUAGAAGGUAAUAUUGAUUAAAAGAUAGAUUUUUUUUUCUUUUGUGGAAGGUGUCUCUUCAAGAGAUACAUUCGGCAUAAAUUCGAAAUUUUCCACUAUGUGUGGAAAUUGUAGUAAGUGUCUCUUGAAGAGACACUUACAGUAUAAACCUAAUUUUUAAAAAAUUAUGGAAGGUGUCUAUUCAAGAGACACCUUUAGUAUAAUUCCAUUUUUUUGGAAAUGUGGAAGGUAUCUCUUGAAGAGACACCUUCAGUAUAAAUUCGAAAUUUUCCCUAUGUAUGGAAAUUGUGAAAAGAGUCUCUUGAAAAGACGCUUUCAAUAUAAACCCAAUUUUUUUAAAAUUAUGGAAGGUGUCUCUUCAAGAAACACCUUUAGCAUAAAUUCAAAAUUUUCAACUAUGUAUGGAAAUUGUAGAAAAGAGACACUUUCAAUAUAAACCCAAUUUUUUUAAAAUUAUGGAAGAUGUCUCUUCAAAAGACUUCUUUAGUAUAAAUCCAUUUUUUAGGGAAUUAUUUCGAAAAUUUCAACUAUGUAUGGAAAUUGUGGAAAGUGUCUCUUGAAGAAACACUUUCAGUAUAAACCCAAUAUUUUUUUUUUUUAAAUUAUGGAUUUAGUAUAAAUCCAAUUUUUUGGGGAUUGUAGGUGUCUUUCAAAAGACAUCUUUAAUAUAAAAUCAAUACAAGUUAAAAUUUGUGAAAUUGUGGAAUCAAAAGGCACUUUUAGUAUAUAUUGGAAUUUAUGGAAUUGUGGAAAGUGUCUCUUGAAGAAACACCUUUAGAAUAAAUCCAAUUUUGUGGGAAUGGUAGAAGGUGUCUUUUGAAAAUACACCUUCAAUAUAAAAUCAAAUUUAAGAGACACAUAGUAGUAUAAAUUAAAAUUUAUGAAAUUAUGGAAGAGACACCUUCAAUAUAAAUCCAAUUUUUUGGGAAUAGUAUAAUGUUUCUUUUUAAGAGACUCAUUUAGUAUAUAUUAGAUUUUGUGGAAUUGUAGAAGGUGUCACUUGAAGACAUGCUUUCAGUAUAAAUCCAAUUUUUUUUGAAUUGUAAAAUGUAUCUUUUGAAGAUUCAAUAUAAAAUCAAAUUUAAGAGACACAUGAUAUAAAUUAAAAUUUGUGAAAUAGUGAAAAGUGUCUCUUGAAAAAACACUUUUAGUAUAUAUUGAAAUUUAUAGAAUUGUGGAAAGUGUCUCUUCAAGACACACCUUUAGUAUAAAUUCAAAUUUUUUGGAAUCGUAAAAGGUGUCUCCAAACACCUUUAAUACAUAUUGGAUUUUGUGGAAUUGUGGAAAGUGUAUUUUCAAGAGACACCUAAAAUUCAAUUUUCUAAAAUUAUAGAAGUCAAGAGAUACAUUUAGGUUAAAUUCAAUUCUUUUAAAUAUGUAUCAUGAUUUUGAAAAUUUUGGAAGGUGUUUCUUCAAAAGACACCUUCCACGUGGCAAAAAACUGUCGUAGAUCUAUCAAUAUUUUUUCAACUACCAUUUUUUAAAAUUGCUGCAAAAGUUAAAAAAGCCCGUAUAGAAGUAGUGUUAUUAAGUAUCAAACUUUAAAGUAAACAAUUCUAAAAGCAUUUUUUAAAUAUUUUAUGGGAUACUAUUUUUUAAAAAUAAUAUUAAUUAAAUAAAAAAUCCUAACACUAAAACCCAAUACAUGUAUGUAUAGGCAUCCGUUGCCAAGCUGAUUUUUUAAGGAAAGGAAUUGAAUAUUAAGGAGAAUUGUGUUUUGGAGUCAAUUGAGCCCAAAAAUUAAGACUUGACCCAUGAAAGUUACAUAAUUGAUGAGAAUGAUAUAAAAUAUGAAAAGACUAAUAUACCCUUCAAAACUAUUUUAAGUAUUUUCUACCACAAUGUUUGACAAAUUUUUUUAUUUUAAUUUUUUUAAUAAUUAUUCUAAAAAUUUAUUAUUUUUAGAAACUAAUUUUUUUUAAAAAUAUAAUUCUAAAAACAUAUCAUUUUAAAAAAAUAAUUUUGACAUAUUUUUAGUUAUUUUUUACCUACAUAAUUUUAAAUAUAUAUAUUUUUCAAGAUGUUUGAUUUUUAAAUAAUAAUAAUAAUAAUAAUAAUAAUAAUUUAUUUUUAGUUUUUUUUAAAAGGGGCAUUUUUUUUCCAAAUCACUGAAUUAAAUUAAAAUUUAUUGAGGUUUACAAAAGAAAUAAAAUUUAAAUUAAUAUUUUUCUACUUUUUUUUCAUCUUCAAUAAAUGUUAUUUUUGGAAAAAUAAAAAAUCUAUAUCCUUCAUCUCAAUUUCCAUACUUCUUUUUAGUCUUGGGCUUAAAUAGUGAAUUUAUAUGGACUAAAACUUAAUUUUUAAACUCAAUUAGGUCUAAAACACAAUUAUACCUAAAUAUUAAUUCUCAUAUGGUCUCUCUCUCCUCCUCUCUCUCUCAUAUUCUUUGAAGAAUCUAUAAUCUAUAGAGUUGACUUUUUUAAUGCCCAUGAGCAGCUGAUUUUUGAAGGAAAGUGAUUGAAUAUUAAUGGUUGUGAGACCCAUUCUCAUAUGUUCUCUCUUCCUCUCCCCCUUUCUCUCUCAUAUUCUAUGAUAGAAUCCAUAGUCAAUAGGGUUGAUUUUUUUUUUUUUAAUGCCCAAGAGCAGCUGAUUUUUGAAGGAAAGUGAUUGAAUAUUAAGUUGUGAGACCCACUCUCAUAUGUUCUCUCUAUCUCCCCCUCUCUCUCAUAUUGUAUUAUAGAAUCUAUAAUCUAUAGGGUUGAUUUUUCUUUUUUUAACGCCCAUGAGCAGCUGAUUUUUGAAGGAAGGUGGUUGAAUCUUAAUGGGUUGUGAGACCCAUUAAUAUAGAGAGGAACUCAAAAUCCUAAUAAAAAUGUAUUUCAAUUAAUAAUGGAUUUUUAAUUCAUAUGCUCAUUUUUAAUAAUUAAUUCAAAUAAAAUAACAAAUUAAAAGUAAAAUUGAUUUUUUAAUUUCAUUUUUUAUUUCAAUGUCUCAAAUAUAUACAAAAAAUAUGAUGAUUAUUUUCAAGGUUUAUAAAACAAUUCUACAAAAAUAGAUUUUUAAAAAAUAUUUAAAAAUAAGGUGUUUGAUAAAUCAACUUAAUUACUUAAUUUAAAUAAUUAAAUAAAUUAGAUAUAUUUUUUAAAAUAAUUUAAUAUUAAAAUUAUUUUUAAUUUUUAAUAUUAAAUUAAACUAAUUAAUUUAUAUUUUAUUUCAAAACCUUUUUACCUCAUUUUCCCAUACCAAUGCAAAAUAAUUAACAUAUAUACCAAACCUUGGCUCACGAGUUUCAAUGGUAAAAUGACAAUUUUAUCCAGUAGGAUGAAGGGUUUUGGCCCACCACAAUAAACCUUAGGGCCUGCCUACUUUGUUGGCGGCUGCCACCGUGGAGCCAGACACUUUUGUUAGGCGGGGCAUCAAGAGAAUUAUUAAUAUAUUAUAGUUAAGGUAAUUAAUGAUAUUUAUUAUUAUUAAAAUUAAAUAAUUUUAAAUAUUAAUUGUUAAAAUGUAUCAAAUUAAACAACCAAUAUUUUUUUAAAUAAAUUAGAUUUUAUAAAAACAUUAUCAAGAAGAUUUAAAAGGAAAUUUCAAAAUAAAUAAAAACUAGAAAAAAAAAUAUUAGAAAUUUUGAAUAAUUUUAAUUAUUUUGUAGUAAAAAACCAUAAAAUUUAUUUUAAAGAAUUCAAUCAUUUAUAUUAUAAGUUUUGAUAUUUUUCAUGAAAAAUUGUGCUCCGAGGAUUAAAAUUUUUAUAGAUAUCAAAAUUAAUAUCUUAAUUUUUUUUCAAAUAACUAAAUAUAAGAUAGUUGAAAUGAAAUCUUUUACUUAAAACUUAUGUUUUAUAUAAUACGUCAUUACGAAGCAUGUUAAAAGUUUUAUUUUUUAUGAUUUAGUUAAGUCUAAUAAAAAACAAGUAUAAAAAUGAAAAAUUUUGAAUAAACAAAAAGAAAGAAAUACCAACAUUAAAAGCGAUUUUUUUUAAUUUUAGUUCAAUUUUAAUAUUUGAUUAGUAAUUAAUAAUCAAUAUUAUUUUUUUGAUAAUAAUAUUUAGUUGUCAUUGUUUUAAAUUUUAUAUUUAUAUUUUUUUAGAGGGGAUAAAUUUUCUAUUUUGGUUUUUAUUUUCCUAAAAAAAUUUAACAUAUAAAAUUGACGGUGUGGGGUACACGUGGCCCCCAUGAGCCUGACUUGAAUGGCAAGCAGGACUCAUUUUCUAGAAAAAAAAAAUUGUUUCUAGAAAAUUGAGGGUUGGGGAAUGGGGACGGGACAUGUGACCCCCCUGAGCCUUACUUGGGUGGCGGCAGGGCGCGUUUUCUAGAAAAAGUUACGUCCAACUAGUCCGGGGUCUUUCCAACUUUUCCUUCUUUCCAUUCAAAAAAGGCAUACUAUCACAAGUCGAUAAGACAUACAAAUUACCCAAAACCACCAAUUGCCCAAGGCACCAAAACAAGUAAUCUGGAGGGGCAUUUUGGUCAUUAUCUUUAGAAAAUUUCCCCAUUGUGACGUGUCUUCGAGCGGUUGGCAACUAGGACUUGGUCUUUGCGCAGUUGGUAACUAUGACGCCUUGGAAAUUGGAAAAAUAUUAUUCUACGGAAAAUGAAACAUUCAAUAUAUGUAUAUAUAGCCUAGGUGUUCUGAGCAAAUGUAGAUAACUCAGGUUUUGUGAGCAAAGGCACAUCAUAACUCAAGUUUUGUGAGCAAAGGGUGUGCACAGUAGCCAUGGCUAAAGCUCUCCUCAUUUCACCUUCUUACUUCAUCUUCCUCGUCUUCCUCAUUUUCUCCUAUGCCACAAUCCCAGUUUUCGGAGAAGAAUACAGUUAUGUCAAAACUAUCGAUCUUGAGAAAAUGAAUCUGCCGAAGGAAAAGGUAACACACUUUCAACUUUAUUGGCAAGAUGUUGUUAGUGGGUCUAAUGCAACCUCAGUUACAGUGAUUGAAGCACUGAAUAACUCAACAUUUUUUGGUUCGGUAAAUAUAAUUGAUAACUCGUUGACCGUUGGGCCAAAUUUGAGCUCAAAAACAGUUGGAAAAUCCCAAGGGUUAUACGCAUCUACAGGACUAGAAGAAUCUUCAUUAUUGAUGGUUAUGAAUUUUGCAUUCACCGAUGGCAAGUAUAACGGUAGCACAUUUACCGUGGUAGGACGAAACAAUGUAAAUGCUGAAGUGAGGGAGAUGCCAAUAAUUGGUGGUAGUGGGCUUUUCCGAUUUGCUAGAGGCUAUGUUUUAGCAUCGACUUACUCAUUCAGCGACAAUGGAGAUGGCACUAUUGAAUACAAUUGCUAUGUCAUACAUCAUUGAUAUUUUUUCUUUUUUUAGUUUUUCUGUGGAGCUUUGGUCCAUAAUAGUGAUAUACUUGAAUAAUCGUGUGUUCCCACCAUUACUAUGUGGGAUUAUCUAGUUUUGUUUAAUUUGAAUAAAUUAGGUGGCUCUUACUUCAUUUGAUUUAAUGUAAGCAUACUGCGAUAAAAUAAAAUAAAAUAUUUGUUUGUAUGAAUUAAUUACUUUCUUGGAACUUGUUAAACUAUACUUUAUUUUAAAAAAAAAUAGAGAGAAGUAAAUUCCAAAGCUCGUAUCAACAAAGUUGAAGUGUUAAUCACUUUUCUAUUCAACUUAACAACUUUUUGUGGGUUGAUUUGAUAUGUUUGAAUUAUUACACAUAUAUAUAUAUGGCUUUUGAAUAUAAGGCUAAUUGGGAGGACUACCUUUACUUUGUUUAAUAAGAAUGGAAUAUUUCUUUGAUUUCACAUUACUCAAAUUAUAUUAACCAAACUAAAAUAUAUUCAACUUUCACUAAUUUUUAGUCAUAUAUAAUGAUAAUGAAGUUAGAAAAAAGCUCAAAAAUUUGAGUUGCAUUCCCAUUUACAAAAAUGCUUUUAAGAAAUGUUUUGAUGAAAACUAUAAAUUUAUUUUACUUUGAAAUGAUAGAUAAGUUUAACUCUUUCUUUUGUUUCAUCUAAGAUAUGAUUUCAUUGAACAUAUUUCAAAAGAAUAUAUGAUUCUUAAACAUUCAAGAGUACCCUUGAAUUAGAAAACCAAUAAAAGAACCCAAUCAGACAAUUGGUUAGAAAAAAAAAAUGUAAAACACGAAAAAAAAUUAAAACUACAAAUGUGGGGAAAAAUAAAAACCUAAAAGAUCUAGCAUAUCAAUGUCAGAUAACACGUAAAAACAAUACUAAAAAGGAUGUGCUUGCUUCAUUAGGGGAUGGAGGAGAAUUUCCUUUUUUUAGUAAAAAAAAGUUAGAAGUUUCGCAACUUCAAUAAACUUCUAAUAAUUUUUAUAUCUUAUAUACAAAUUAUUAUUAUUAUUAUUUUGUAUUUUUUAAAAAUAUAUGAAAUACAUUCAAAUGGGCACUUAAUUAUAAAUAAAUGAUAGCUAUUCUACCAUUUCUCUAAUAAUAAAAAAAUUAUUUUUCAAUGAAUUUAGCAUUCAAAAAGCUUUAAAUCAUUUUUUUUCUACUGAUUGUGUAAUAGUAGAUGAUGAAAAAUUAACAAUAAAUGAUUAAUUAUCAUCAUAUGUUUAAUCUUUAUCAAUUAUCCUUGUCCUAUUAAAGCAAGGUGACAAGUUGAAUGUGAUUAGGUUUAUGAAAGUUGAAAUCAAUCGUCCUCAUCCUUGUAUGCAAGUGGGUCAUGGACUCAUGGCAUGUGGCUAUAGCCCAUUGAAUGUAUAGAAGUAGUGUUAUCAAAUAUCAAACUUUAGAGUAAACAAUUUUAUAGGCCACAUCCAUGAUCCACCCUAGAGAAUUGGAAAAAUAAUUUUAUUAAGGUUAAGCAACAAUGGGAUUUGAUUUGAUUGUAAUGUGAUUUGAGGGGAGAAUGAAAGGAGUGGGUCAUUGGGAUAAUGUUGGUUAUAUUUGUGGCCAAUGGGUAGGAUCCCAAGUGGGAGAAAAUGUAAAGAAAUGUAAGGUGAUUAUGGUUUUUUGGUUUUUGUUAGGGUUCUCUAAAGUAGAUUAGGGGAAGAAUGAGAAAGUGAGCCCCAUUAUUUUGAAUGAUUAGUUUUUUUAAUUUUUUAUAAGAUGAUUUUGUGUAAAAUAAAAAAAAUACAAAAAAUACAAAAUUAAAGGACAGGAUAUUUAUUAAUUAUUAAGAAGAAAUGGAAUUUUUGGAAAAAAAAUUGCAUAUAAAAUAUUUUUUGAAAAGACAACUAUUUUUUUUUAUCUAAAAUCAUAUAUGAAAAAGACAUUUUAAAAGCUUUUUUAAAUAUUUUAUGGGAUACUAUUUUUAAAAAAUAAUGUUAAUUAAAUAAAUAAAAAAUCCUAAUACUAAAACCCUGCAGCAAAAAGUUGGCAACAAAGCAUGUUUAUCUCCAAGUUUUGCCAUCCAUUGUCAUUUUUUAGUUGUCCUUUUUCCAUUGAGUUAAAUAAAAUGGAUGUGAUGGUGGUGCAUGCCUUGGUGGAGCCAAUUCUUUGCCACCCAAGUUUUUAAUUUAUGUUCUUAUUUUUAAUAAUUAAUUCACAUAAAAUAACAAAUUAAAAGUGAAAUAGAUUUUUUAAUUUCAUUUUUUGUUUCAAUGUUUCAAUAUCUCAAACAUGAGAAUUAUUCUCAGAUAUUAGAAAGAUUUAUAAAACGAUUCUGAAAAUAUAAUUUUUUCAAAAAAUGUUCAAUUAUAAAGUAUUUGGUUAAUCAAUUUAAUUAUUUAAUUUAAGUUAUUAAAUAUAUUUAAUAAAAUAAUUUAAUAUUAAAAUUAUUUUUAACUUUUAAUAUUAAAUUAAAAUAAUUAACUUAUACUUAAUUUCAAAACUUUUUACCUCGUUUUUCAUAUUAAUAUAAAAUAAUUAACAGACCUACCUUGGCUCACAAGUUUGAAUAGUAAAAUGACAAUUUUAUCCAAUAGGAUGAAGGGUUUUGGCCCACCACAAUAAACCUUAGGGCCCACUUUGAUGGCGGCUGCCACCGCGGAGCCAGACACUUAUGUUAGGUGGGCCAUCAACAGAAUUAUUAAUGUAUUAUAGCUAAGGUAAUUAAUGAUAUUUAUUCUCGUUAUUAUUAUUAUUAUUAUUAAAAUUAAAUAAUUUUAAAUAUUAAUUAUGAAAAUGUAUCAAAUUAAACAACCAAUACUAAGAAUAUUUUUUAAAAAAAAUUAGAUUAUAUAUAUAUAUAUAUAUAUAUUAAAAAAAUUAGCAAGAACAUUUAAAGGGAAAUUUCAAAAUAAAUAAAAACAAAAAAAAAAAUCAUUAGAAAUUUUGAAUAAUUUUAAUUAUUUUAUCACAAAAACCCGUAAAAGUUAUUUUUAAAAAAUCAAGCAUUUAUGUUAUAAAUUUUGAUAUUUUUCAUGGAAAAUGUGUGUGUUUUUAAAUCUCAAUUAUUUUAUAACAUAAUUUUAUUUAUUUAUAUCUUAAUCAUAUUUAUAUUCAAAGACCUAAAUUUUUCUAUGUGCUUUUAAAAAUAAAGAUUAAAAUUUCAAUAGAUGUCCAAAUUAAUACUUUUAAAUUUUUUUCUUUUUUCAAAUAAUUAAAUAUACAAUAAUCAAAAGUAAAGUUGUUUACUUAAAAUUUAUGUUUCAUAUAAUAAGUUAUUAUGAAAACAGUAGCAAUUUAAAAGUAUUAUUUUUUAUGAUUUAAUUAAGUAUAAUAAAAAAUAAGCAUGAAAAUGAAAAAGAUUGAAUAAACAAAAAGAAAUAAAUGCUAAUAUCAAAUGAGAAUUUUUUUAAAUUUUAGUUCAAUUUUAAUAUUUUAUUAGUAAUUAAUGGUCAAUAUUAUUUUUUUGGUAAUAAUAUUUAGUUGUCAUUAUUUUGAAAAUUAAAUUCAUAUUUUUUUUUUAGAAGGGAUAAAUUUUCUAUUUUGGUUUCUAUUUUCCUAAAAAAGUUUUGACAUAUAAGGGAAUUUGUUUGUUUCUAGAAAAUUCAGAGGGCCAGGUGCCCUGAGCCUUACCUGGCACCGCCAGAGGCGGCAAGACUCAUUUUCUAGAAAAAGUUUUUAUAUGUUUUCCUUCUUCCCAUUCAAAAAAUGAGUGCUAUUACAAGUCGAUAAGACUUUGAAAUUACCCAAAACCACCAAGUGCCCAAGCCACCAAACCCAAUAAGCUGGAGGGCCAUUUUGGUCAUUCUCGUUAGAAAUUUUCUCCAUUGUGAUGUGUAUUUGAGCGGUUGGCAACUACGACUUGGCCUUUGCCCGGUUGGAAACUUCAUACUGACUUUGAAUUUGGAAAUGUCAAUUUUAUUGUACGGAAAAGUCAUUCUUAUUGUAUGAAAAAUCAACCAAUCGAUACAUAUAUAUAGCCUAGGUUUUGUGAGCUAAGGUAUAUACCUCAAGUUUUGUGAGCAAAGGUUUAUAGCUCAAGUUUUGUGAGCAAAGGUUUAUAGCUCAAGUUUUGUGAGCAAAGGGUGUGUAUUGUAGUCAUGGCUAAAACUCUCCUUGUUUCACCUUCCUACUUCAUCUUCUUCAUCUUUCUCAUUUUUUCUUCUACCACAACUCCAAUUUUUGGAGAAGAAUAUAGCUAUGUUAAAAGUGUCAAUCCUAAAAAAAUGAAGAUACCGAGAGAAAAGGUAAGUCAUUUUAAACUUUAUUGGCAGGAUGAUGUUAGCGGGUCUAAUGCAACUUCCGUCACAGUGAUUGAAGCACUGAAUAACUCGUCACCAUAUUUUGGUAUGGUAAAUAUAAUUGAUAACUCGUUAACCGUUGGGCCAAAUAUGAGCUCAAAAACGGUUGGAAAGGCCCAAGGGCUUUACGCAUCUACGGGACAAGAAGAUGCUUCAUUAUUGAUGGUUAUGAAUUUUGCAUUCACUGAUGGCAAGUACAAUGGUAGCACAUUCACUGUGUUAGGACGAAACAAUGUAAAUGCUGAGGUAAGGGAGAUGCCAAUAAUCGGUGGCAGUGGGCUUUUCCGAUUUGCUAGAGGCUAUGCUCUAGCAUCAACUUACUCGUUCUACGACAACGGAGACGCCACUAUUGAAUACAAUUGUUAUGUCAUACAUUAUUGAUUUUUUUUAUUUUUUUAUUUUUUAUUUUUGUGGAGUUUUGAUCCACAAUAGUGAUAUACUUGAAUAAUUGUGUAUUCCCACCAUAGCUAAGUGGGAUUCUCUAGUUUUGUUUAAUUUGAAUAAAUUAGGUGGCUCUUACUUCACCUAAUUGAAUGUAAGCAUACUUUAAUAAAAUAAAAUAAAAUGAUUAUUUGUGUGGAUCAAUUACUUUCUUGAAAUUUGUUAAAUCAUACUUUAUUCUUAAAAAAAAAGUUGGAGAAAAGUAGAUUUAAAAGUUUAUAUCAAGAAAGUUGAAGUGUAUCACUUUUCUAUUCAACUUAUCUUAGCUUUGUAUAAUAAAAAUGACAUAAUUAUUUGAUUUCACAUGACCCAAAUUAUCUUAACCAAACUAAAAUAUAUUCAACUUUCACUAAUUUUUAGUCAUAUAUAAUGAUAAUGAAGUUAGAAAAAGCUCAAAAAUUUAUGGAGCAUUCCCAUUUACAAAAAUGCUUUUAAGAAAUGUUUUGAUGAAAAUUAUAAUCGUCGCAACUAUCCCACAAAAGAUGGAGGGCAAUCCUCCAACCCCCUUUCUCGUGAUAAUUAAAGUAUAAAAGAUUAUCCAUUUUGAUAAUAUGAUAUUUUUAUGUAAUGUCUGUAAAUGUGUAAUCAUACUAAUGAUAACAAGAAUUAAUGAUUAUUUGGUAUAUGUAGGUAUCACCACACGAUGGAGUCGAGACCCUUGGAUCCGACAGUUCUACAUGGACAGGCUACACACAGGUCAUCUCUAGCAUGGACAGGUGUUGACUCUAAGAAGCUUCAUUAUCGACGUCGUGAGGCGAUCUUCCAUCGCACCAGUGUACUCGAUGGGCGUAUUAUUCCAUUGUUGCAGCAGGCAGGCUUCUAUGGUGUUGCACGCUUAGGAUUCAUUUCCUUAUAUUGGCAUCUUAUUACUGCAUUUGUCAAGAGAUGGCGACCUGAGACUCAUACACAUGUUUAGAUUAGAGACGUGUAUGUUAUUCUCUAUUAGAACUCACUCCUGGAGAUACAGAUAUAGAUGGGUAGCACCUUCAUCUUACAUGGUUGAGUUAGAGUUUCCCUACUUUGGCACUAGAUGCUGAUAAGGAGUCUAUUCAGCGUUAUACUAGAGCUUAUAUCUUACAACUCAUUGGAGGUUUUCUAUUUUCAGGAAAGUCUAACGAUAAGGUGCAUCUUAUGUUUUUACCCCUUCUAAAGGAUUUUGAGGUUGCUAGUAGGUAUAGUUGGGGUAGUGCCUGUUUAGCUUGGCUUUAUCGACAGUUGUGUCGAGCCUCUCAUAUUGAUACACAUGAUAUAUCUGGCCCACUGAUUUUGCUCCAGUUAUGGGUAUGGGAGAGGUUCCCAUUUAUUGCACCUCAUCGUUUACGUAUAGCUCCACAUGAUGACCAACUGCCUCCAUCUCUAUUGGCCAUUCGGUAUAUAUUAUAAAAUUACGACAAAUUUUACUAUUAUGAGGAUACACACAUAAACUUAAAUUCUAACAUUUUUUAUUUAUUUAACUAUGCUUUGUUAUUUUAAUUUUAUAGGUGGAGAGAUGAGUUUCGGACUACUUCGAUUAGCAUGCACGUCUUAGCUCAGUAUAGGCACCAUCUUGAUCGACUUAUAACAAAUCAGGUGAUAAAAGUGUAAUUCAUUUCUUAUACUUGUUUUUCUAAACAAAUUUUAAACCACUGAUUAUAUCUAACGUUUCUUGGGUACAGAUUAUAUGGCAGCCUUAUGUUGAUGACAUGAAUGUUGGUCUUCCUGAUUAUUGUACUGCUGGGAAAGAUAUAUGGUGCACUAUCUCACCUUUGAUAUGUUUCCACAUAAUUGAAUGGCAUAGACCUGAUCGAGUAUUGCGGCAAUUUGGAUUACGUCAAGGGAUUCCUCAGCCAUGUGAUAAUGAGUCAAUCUUACACAAAUGUGAUUUGAAAAGUAGACAUGAUGUUGAUUGGACUACUCGACAUGAAGACUACAUUCAACGUUAGAGCUCUAGGCAUGAGCAUAUUGCUAGAAGGGAGAUGGUUAUAGGUUCAUUGGGAUAUCAUGAUCCAUACAUGGUGUGGUAUCGCUCCAUUACUAUUCAGUUUCUUACUCGAACUGGGUCCUUCCACGAGCUAUUGGUAAUGUUCAUGUUUUGUUUUUUUAUUAAAGUUUAUUUUAUUUUUAUAAUAAUUUUAAUUUAACUCUUAUUUGACUUACAGACUUCUAGCAUACACCAAAUAUAUGAUAUUGCACCUCCAGAUGAUUUUCGCAUUCGUAAGCUAUGUACUACUGUAUUAAAGGCCAUACAUGAGAUGGAUCGCUUAGAUGCUUCAUUUAGUGUUGAUGCUACUAUACAGCUCCAGCCUCCAUUAGGAGAUGUACGACCUACACGACAAGGGCCUCAUACAAGGGAGAUUAGGCAUACACCAGUUGUUGCCCAAGUGCGACCAUUGAUUGACAUUAGUCCACCACCUCAUCAGCAGCCGACAUCAUCUAUUACUCGAUCAGGAGGUGAACGGACUAGAAGGGGAGAGCCUCAUAUGAGGAGUAGUCCACCACCUCAUCAGCAGCCGAUAUCAUCUAUUACUCGAUUAGGAGGUGUAUGGACUAGAGGAGGAGGGCCUCAUACAAGGAGUAGUCCAUCACCUCAUCACCAGCCGAUAUCAUCCAUUACUCAAUCAGGAGGUGUACAGACUAGAGGGCGAGAGGCUCAUACUAGAGGGACUAGGCAUACAUAUGUUCUUAGAGAUGCACCAUUGACUGACAUUAGCCUACCACCUGUUCAGGAGACUCCUAUUACACCUAUGAAGGUGUCAUCCACCCCACCUGUAGUACCACUUGUUGCAUCAUCACCACCAUCGAUAGAGGCUACAUUAGUUAAUGAAGAGUUAGUUCAUAUAGCAAAUGAUGAUCAGAAAGGACAAAAGACUGAUCGUAGUCGAAGACAUGGUCGAGGACGUGGUAGGAAAUGUGGUCGUCGAGCUCAUGGAGGGUUACAUGUUAGCCUCAUAGAGCUAAUAGUGGAGCAUGCACAUCCUAGAUGUCCACUACGGAAGAGGAAGACUCCUUCGUGAAGUACACAUUGAGAAUGUUACUAUAUAUGACUUGUAUUUUGGAUACUAUUAGUAUUUUGCAUAUCAUUAUUUUGGACAAAUACUCAAGAUGUAUGUUUUUACUUGUUAUAUUUUGGAUUAACUAACUUUUUAUUAACGUAAGUUCUAUAGUAUUCUAUCUAUUUUGGACUUAUUUUACACAAAAUAGUAUUGUUAUUAUUUUGGAAAGGUGCUGACUUAAUUGACAUUUGGUUUACUUGUUUUCAUUGGUUUUGGAUUGAAUGUCAAAAUAUUGAUUAUAAUGUAUACAGAUGAUAAACUUUAAACAUUUGGUUGUACAAUAGGUAAUAUUAAUUAAGAGAUAUAAUUUUUUUUUUUCUUUUGUGGAAGGUGUCUCUUCAAGAAACACUUUCAGCAUAAAUUCGAAAUUUUCUACUAUGUAUGAAAAUUGUGGAAAGUGUCUCUUGAAGAGAUACUUUCAGUAUAAACCGAUUUUUUUUUUAAAUUAUGGAAAUUGUGGAAAGAAACACUUUCAGUAUAAACCCAAUUUUUUUUUCAAAUUAUGGAAGAUGUCUCUUGAAGAGACACCUUUAGUAUAAUUCUAUCUUUUGGGAAUUGUAGAAUGUCCCUUUUCAAAAUUCGAAAUUUCGAAAUUUUCCACUGUGUAUGAAAAAUUGUAGAAAGUGUCUCUUGAAGAGACAAGAGACAUUUUUAGUAUAAACCCAAUUUUAAAAAAAUUAUGAAAGUCGUCUGAAUAUAAUUCCAAUUUUUUUUUUUGUAAUUAUGGAAAGUGUCUCUUGAAGAGACACCUUCAACAUAAAUUCGAAAUUUUCCAUUGUUUAAAUGAAAAUUGUGAAAAAUGUCUUUUGAAGAGACACUUCAAGUAUAAACCCAAUUUUUUUAAAAUUGUUGAAGGUGUCAAGAGACACCUUUCACAAUUCCUAAAAAAUGAAAUUAUAUUGAAGGUGUCUCUUCCAUUAUUUUAAAAAAAAUUGGGUUCAUAGAGAUUUUCCAUAAUUUUCAUACAUUGAAGAGAGACAUCUUUAUAAAUCAUUUCCACAAUUUUUAAUACAUAUUGGAUUUUGUGGAAUUGUGGAAAGUGUCCUUUCAAGAGAUACCUUUAGUAUAAAUCUAAUUUUUAGGAAUUGUAAAAGGUGUCUCUUGAAGAGACACCUUUAAUGCAUAUUAGAUUUUUUAUCACGUGGAAACUGUCUCUUCAAGAGACACCUUUAAUAUAAAUCCAAUUUUUUUGAAUUGUAGAAUGUGUCUUUUCAAGAGACACCUUUAGCUUAAAUUCAAUUCUUUUAAAUAUGUAUCAUGAUUUUGAAAAUUGUGAAAGGUGUCUUUUGAAAUAGACACCUUCCACUUUCACGUGGCCAAAACUGUAGUAUAUAUAUCAACAUUUUCUCAACUUCCAUUUUUUAAUAAUUAUUUUUUUAAAUUGCCGCAAAAGUUAAAAAAGCCCCAACUCUUUGCCACCCAAUUGGGAGACUGAAAUGCCUCUCUAUCCAUAGAAUCUAUAGUCUUGACCAGCUGAUUUUCCAAGGAAAGUGGUUGAAUCUUAAUGGGUGUUGAGACCCAUUAAUGUUGAGAGGAACUCAAAAUCCUAAUAAAAAUGCAUUUCAAUUAAUAAUGAGUUUUUAAUUUAUGUUCUCAUUUUUAAUAAUUAAUUCGCAUAAAAUAACAAAUUAAAAGUGAAAUAGAUUUUUUAAUUUCAUUUUUUGUUUCAAUGUUUCAAUAUCUCAAACAAGGAUUAUUCUCACAUAUUUGAAAGAUUUAUAAAACAAUUCUUUUCAAAAAAAUAUUCAAUUAUAAGGUGUUUGGUUAAUCAACUUAAUCAUUUAAUUUAAAUUAUUAAAUAAAUAAAAUAUAUUUAAUAAAAUAAUUUAAUAUUAAAAUUAUUUUUAACUUUUAAUAUUAAAUUAAAAUAAUUAACUUAUACUUAAUUUCAAAACUUUUUACCUCGUUUUUCAUAUUAAUAUAAAAUAAUUAACAUACCUACCUUGGCUCACAAGUUUAAAUGGUAAAAUGACAAUUUUAUCCAAUAGGAUGAAGGGUUUUGGCCCACCACAAUAAACCUUAGGGCCCACUUUGAUGGUGGACACUUAUGUUAGGUGGGCCAUCAACAGAAUUAUUAAUAUAUUAUAGCUAAGGUAAUUAAUGAUAUUUAUUCUCGUUGUUAUUAUUAUUAUUAUUAUUAAAAUUAAAUAAUUUUAAAUAUUAAUUAUGAAAAUAUAUCAAAUUAAACAACCAGUACUAAGAAUAUUUAAAAAAAAUAGAUUUUAUAUAUAUAUUAAAAAAAUUACCAAGAACAUUUAAAAGGAAAUUUCAAAAGAAAUAAAAACUAAAAAAAAAAAUCAUUAUAAAUUUUGAAUAAUUUUAAUUAUUUUAUCCCAAAAACCCAUAAAAGUUAUUUUAAAGAAUUCAAUCAUUUAUAUUAUAAAUUUUGAUAUUUUUCAUGGAAAAUGUGUGUUUUUAAAUCUCAAUUGUUUUAUAACAUAAUUUUAUUUAUUUAUAUCUUAAUCAUAUUCUUUAUAGUUAUAUCCAAAUACCUAAAUUUUUCUAUGUACUUAUAAAAAUAAGGAUUAAAAUUUUAAUAGAUGUCAAAAUCAAUAUUUUUAAAAUUUUUCUUUUUUCAAAUAAUUAAAUAUAUGAUAAUUGAAAGUAAAAUUAUUUACUUAAAACUUAUGUUUCAUAUAAUAAGUCAUUAUGAAAACAGUAUCAAUUUAAAAGUAUUAUUUUUUAUGAUUUAAUUAAGUAUAAUAAAAAAAAUAAGCAUAAAAAGGAAAAAGAUUGAAUAAACAAAAGGAAAUAAAUACUAAUAUCAAAUGAGAAUUUUUUUAAAUUUUAGUUCAAUUUUAAUAUUUUAUUAGUAAUUAAUGGUCAAUAUUGUUUUUUUGGUAAUAAUAUUUAGUUGUCAUUAUUUUGAAAAUUAAAUUCAUAUUUUUUUAGAGGGGGUAAAUUUUCUAUUUUGGUUUCUAUUUUCCUAAAAAAGUUUUGACAUAUAAGGGAAUUUGUUUGUUUCUAGAAAAUUCAGAGGGCCAGGUGCCCCCCUGAGCCUUACCUGGCACCGCCAGAGGCGGCAAGACUCAUUUUCUAGAAAAAGUUUUUAUAUGUUUUCCUUCUUUCCAUUCAAAAAAUGAGUGCUUUUACAAGUCGAUAAGACUUUGAAAUUACCCAAAACCACCAAGUGCCCAAGCCACCAAACCCAAUAAGCUGGAGGGCCAUUUUGGUCAUUCUCGUUAGAAAUUUUCUCCAUUGUGAUGCGUAUUUGAGCGGUUGGCAACUAUGACUUGGCCUUUGCCCGGUUGGAAGCUUCAUACUGACUUUGAAUUUGGAAAUGUCAAUUUUAUUGUAUGGAAAAGUCAUUCUUAUUGUAUGAAAAAUCAACCAAUCGAUACAUAUAUAUAGCCUAGGUUUUGUGAGCUAAGGUAUAUACCUCAAGUUUUGUGAGCAAAGGUUUAUAGCUCAAGUUUUGUGAGCAAAGGGUGUGUAUUGUAGUCAUGGCUAAAACUCUCCUUGUUUCGCCUUCCUACUUCAUCUUCUUCAUCUUUCUCAUUUUUUCUUCUACCACAACACCAAUUUUUGGAGAAGAAUAUAGUUAUGUCAAAAGUGUCGAUCCUAAAAAAAUGAAGAUACCAAGAGAAAAGGUAAGUCAUUUUAAACUUUAUUGGCAGGAUGAUGUUAGCGGGUCUAAUGCAACCUCAGUCACAGUGAUUGAAGCACUGAACAACUCGUCACCAUAUUUUGGUAUGGUAAAUAUAAUUGAUAACUCGUUAACCGUUGGGCCAAAUAUGAGCUCAAAAACGGUUGGAAAGGCCCAAGGGCUUUACGUAUCUACGGGACAAGAAGAUGCUUCAUUAUUGAUGGUUAUGAAUUUUGCAUUCACUGAUGGCAAGUACAAUGGUAGCACAUUCACUGUGUUAGGACGAAACAAUGUAAAUGCUGAGGUAAGGGAGAUGCCAAUAAUUGGUGGCAGUGGGCUUUUUCGAUUUGCUAGAGGCUAUGCUCUAGCAUCAACUUACUCAUUCUACGACAACGGAGACGCCACUAUUGAAUACAAUUGCUAUGUCAUACAUUACUGAUGUUUUUUCUUUUUCUAAUUUUUCCGUUGAGCUUUGUUCCACAAUAGUGAUAUACUUGAAUAAUUGUGGGUUCCCACCAUAGCUAAGUGGGAUUCUCUAGUUGUUUUUAAUUUGAAUAAAUUAGGUGGUUCUUACUUCACCUAAUUGAAUGUAAGCAUGUUGUAAUAAAAUAAAAUAAAAUGCUUAUUUACAUGGAUUAAUUACUUUCUUGAAAUUUGUUAAACUACACUUUAUUCUUUAAAAAAAAAUGGAGAGAAGUAGAUUUAAAAGCUUAUAUCAACAAAAUUGAAGUGGUAUCACUUUUCUAUUCAACUUAUGUUGGCUUUGUUUAAUUAAAAAUGACAUAAUUCUUUGAUUUCACAUGACCCAAAUUAUAUUAACCAAACUAAAAUAUAUUCAACUUUCACUAAUUUUUAAUCAUAUAUAAUGAUAAUGAAGUUAGAAAAAAGCUCAAAAAUUUAUGGAGCGUUCCCAUUUACAAAAAUGCUUUUAAGAAAUGUCUCGAUGAAAAUUAUAAAUUUUAUUUACCUUGAUACACAAGUUAACUUUUUCCUUUAUUUUACCCAAGAUAUGAUUUAAUUGAACAUAUUUCAAAAGAAGAUUGGAUUCAUAAACAACAAACUUUUCCCUUUAUUUACAAAUUCUACAAGUUCCAUAACUAGGGUUUGAAUCAAAAUGGGCUAAAAAUUAAUGUCAUCUCAAUUUUGCUUCAUUUUUUAGACAAGCAAUCAUGACUAUGUUCAAUAAAUUCAUGUGUACAUAACAAGCAAGCAACCAAAAGACCAUUUGUUUUUUUUGUUGUUGCCCUUUGUAUGGUCCAAUAUGUUGGGCCCAUUACAUUUUGAUUCGUAGCUUAAUGGGCUUUUUGCCCAAUUUAAAAGUGGACCUCAUUAGGGCCCACCAAGUUUAAAGCCUCUUAAGACCCUUGAAGAUUAAACGGAAAUAACUAUUUGUCACAAGUGAAAAGUGAGAGAGACUUAUAUUUAAAUGGAAAGACGCUCAAAGAUUGAUUUUUAAUGUAAGUGAAGGUAUGAAAAGUUGAAUAGCUCUCAUAUCAAGCCUUCAAGAGUACUCUUUUCUAAAAAAACUAAGAAAAGAACCUGAUCAAAUAAUUUGGCUAGAAAAAAAAAAAAUACAAAACAC